rnacentral:lncRNA from 1 species
UGAUUGGCCGGCCCUUGAGCGUGCCCAAGUUUAUUUCUGAGUCCAUUUACGCAGCUACCUGUAUCAUUCGGAUCAUAAGAUGUACUAGGGUCAGUUGCACUAUGUGAAUCAUAAGAUGUGGUAGGAUGGUGCUAUGCGAAGCGUGUCGAGCUGAAGUACCUAGUGGACUACAGUCAUGAGGGCGGUCAUGUGGACAUCGUCGCUUCUUAGUUCAUUAGCAGAUUUCAAACUAUUUCCUGUAUUGCAGCACAUUAUUAGUAUUGCUGUAUUAGCAAUUUUCAUGGCUUGUUGAUGAUUGAUCAUACUUGGCGUCAAGCACCCCCCUGAGUUUUUCUUGUCCUACUUCCCUCUCCAAAUAAUUGACUUGUAGGAUUCUUCUAAGUCAAAAGUUUGAUCAUUUUGAUAUAAAAUUAAUUAUAUCAGCAUCUACAAAAUUAAUUUUAUUCGAAAUGUAUUUUCGUAUUAUAUAUGUAUUUGAUACUCUGUUGUGUUUUUACUGUUGACAUAUAAAUCCCCUUUAUGUUUCUACUGUUAGACAAUUCAACUUUGUUUCAAUUUAGUGACUCAAAUUUAAAAUGCAAAAUUCAAUAAAAGAUAUAUGAUGGAACUUCAAAGAAACAUAUUUCCCCUUGUGACACAAAUCCCAGGCCAAGAGCAACCCGAGAAUCCGUGCCCCUUCUAAUUUCCAAAAGUGAUUCUUCUUUGUCACCCAUCCCAUUUGGAUCCAUCAGUUUGUACCUUUUAUCUCUCUCGUCAACUUCAUCUCCUUGAAAUUGAAUGAACCAUACGCCCCAAGUCAGCCUUGCGCUUCGCCGUGGCCCCCAUGCCCACCUCGUACUCCUCUUGUUUCCUCGGCUGUCUCUUCUCAUUCUUUUUUUUGACCAUGCCUCUUCUCAUUCUCUUUGACUUCUUAUCACCUUGCUAAUUUCUCCUAUUUCUUGAACGGGAUUACUUCAUGUACUAUGCUUUGUGUCCGAUUUUCAUACAAUGGUCAGAUGGAUGGUUGUAGGCCCAAAUAGAUGCUAACAUGGAUGAAAAGUGCAAAUGGAUGAUGGGUGCAUUGGUGGACUUUAUUAAAAAAAUAAUUCAAAUUGCAAAAAAAAAUGUACAUACACAAAUACAUAUAUAACACAUUCACGAAAAGUUUCGUAACAAUAUACUCCCUUCGGUCCUUUUUACUCUGUAUAUAAGAAUUGUUUGAAGUCAAACUUCACAAAAUUUGACCAUAUUUAUAUGAAAAAAUAUCAACAUCUACCAUACUAAAGUUAACAAUAUAAAAAUUUAACUCAUGACACAUAUACUGAUAUUGAUUUUAUACUGUGAAUGUUUGUAUUUUUUUCUAUAAAGUUGGUCAAACUUUAUGAGGCUUGACUUUAGACAAAUCUUAUAUGCGAACUAAAAAGAACCGGAGGGAGUACUACUUGCAUACAUGGCACAGACAAAAAAAACACAUACAUGGAAAUGGGCCACCAUUUUCUUUUUGGUGUUGGACCGAAAUCUUGUUUUUUUGUGCAACUUGCAAAUCGUAAUAUUUUUGAACAAAAUUUUACAGAUCCACCAUGAAUAUGUAUAAGUUCUCGUAGACUUUUUUGAACUUAUAAAUAUCGUUUUUGAAUCAUUUGAAAUGAAGUCUUCCAAUGCCCCCGUCCACACAAACUUCGCACUCCUAACAUGGAUGGUUAAUAUUGUGUGUUAGUACAAAUAUCGUAUGGAUUUUAUUACAUGUGUAGCGGUGCUCUUUCUUUAAUGUCAAUUCCACAUUGUCUCUGCCAACUCAUCCCUCGACAAAAUCAUCUCAAACUUUUCUCUCUAGGCAUAAAACUUUGCUCCCUACCAAAGCCUCUCCUACUCUUUCUUCGUCCUACAAGCAUCUAUGCAGUUAGUAUGACUUUCUAGACCUCCCAUCCUCCUCCUCCCCAUCUACUUCAUCAUUGCUCUUUGAGAAGAGGAGUGAUUUGACAUCAGUCUUUUAGGCGGAGGGUCACCAUUCCUGGUUUGUCACUUUUUAUGCUCUUCGGAAAUGCACGAUAGUGACGGAGUGUUGAGAACUUUCGUUCGGACUUAGGCAUAUGCUUGUAUGUAAUUGUCAUGUGGCAUCGAACAAUUCAGGAUGCAUAUGAGAAGUCAAUUCUUAGCCCAUAGUAUAAGAGAUCAACUCUUAGCUAUGAGAAGUCAAGUUUUAAUUUUCUCUCCAUUUCUCCCUUUCCCACUUCACCAUUUAUCCUACCUGAUACCGCUAAGAUAGUUUUAAUGUAAACGCCCUAAGCAAGCCCAUUAAUUUUUCUUAUUUUCUGCCACUUUUCAUUAGUACAGUAAACCAAUACAAAUUCAUGCUUUGCUAUUGCGUGUUCCCAAGUUUGUAGUUGCUUUUGCACUACCUUUUAUUUGUUCUUUAUUCCACGGCUCGGGUAGAACUCAAAAUUGCUUAGGAGCAUAAAUAGAGAUCUGUUGCUAAUGAUUUCUCCAUUGCCAUACCGUUUAUAUUCGAUAUCUAAUUUAUGAUUCCAUAGUAUGGCAUUUUAGACCUAGAGGAAAUGUUGACCAAUCGCUAGCCUCUUCUUUCCCCUCUCACAAAGCAACUGGGGCAUAGUCUUCCUCCUCUCGAUCUCUGUUAGUGAGAUCGUGGAUUUGCCUCACCUCUAUGUGCCGAUUCGACACCCCGGGGUGGGGAGGGAAUCUUGGUGCCUUGGCUAUGGUUAGUAUAUAUGGUUUUAGUCCUAACAAGAGUGAUACUUGACGGAUGUCGAUGCCUCAUCUCUGAGUCAAUCUUUCAGGCUCCAACCCUCCACGAGUUCAUCCGUUGGGACAGAUUAUGCAGAGCUUUGACAUAGAUUCCUGCCGGCUCCUCGGGGCGUCUAGGUUGGGUUUUAUCGACGUGUGUGCGUGACGGUGAUAUUUGGUGUCAAGUUCUUCAGAUCGAUUCAAAGGUUUAAUGACUUUGCCUAUGACUUUAGGGCGCCGAUCCUUAUGGUCACAUGCAUACGGAAUUAUUGGUUGUCAUCAACAUGAUGAGGCCGACUCCAGUAUGAGAGAGAGAGAGAGGCGACAUCGACACAUCAGCGCUUAUUUUGUGGUUCAAAGACCUCAAUACAUUUUUAUUAUUUUUGGUGUGCUUUGUACCUCUGAUGAUUUUUUCCGCAAAGAAACCUCUAGAUGAAAUGCUUACCAGAGAGCCCGUGGAUUUGCCUCCCCUCUACCCGUCGCUCCGGUGGCCGGCGGAGAAAAGAGGAAUUCAUGUGCCUUCGCCUAGAUUAGUAGUUUAGGUUAGUUUUUUUAAUCCUCGCAGGUGCGACGCUUGAACGGGCGGUGACACUUCUUCUUCGAGUUUGUCUUUCGUGCUCCGACCCUCCUCGAGUUCGUCCGUCUGGACAUAGUCGAUGAAGCUCCGACAUAGAUUCCUGACAUCUCCUUGGAACGGUGAUGUUAGGGUUUCUCGUCAUGUAACGAGAUUUGCUGUCAGAUGCUUCAGAUAUAUGCAAGGAUUCAACAAAGACAACUGCGGCUCCAGGGUCCUGGUCCUUAGGGCACAUGCAUGAAGACUUCCCGACCGUAAUCGAUAAGGUCAAGCUGGCUUAGAUAGGGGGAACGGCGACAACGACGCGUCGGUGACUCAUUCUAUUGGCAAUAGUGGUCGUCCGAUGAUCUUGAAAUCUCAAUAUAAUUUUAUUAUGUUUGAGAUGCUUUGUACUUCCAACAAAUUUUUAUAAUAGAUUUGAUCCUCUUUCCGGGGAAAAAACUAGUAGAAAAACAAUCCUACCAUUCUCACAGACGUCACUCGAACGUUUGCUCCCACGCGGCUACCAGGCAGAAGGAAGAGGAGAGCGGACGCACCAUCGCCGCAACAAAGCCAACAACUGCGUACUGAAGAAAAGAAAACCACUUGUAAAGCAGAUCACAUAUACUCACCGCACCGCACCGCGCGUCGUCGCCGCGCCGCCCCGCCCCACCCCACCGGAUCCCGCCAGAUCCAGGUGCCCAGAUCCCGGAGCGCCCGACUGGCCCGAUGGACCCCUCGCCGGCCGCGGCGGAGCGCGACCGCUCGCCGCCGCCGCCCCCUCCCCCGCCCCCGUCCUCCUCCACGUCGCCUCUCGCCGUCGUCUGCAGCUUCUGGAAAGGUCCGCGUCGAUCCCCACCUUCGCUGCGCUUGGUUCGAACUGGUGUGCCCGGAAGGCCGGCUGGUCUGAAUUGCCGCGGAGCAUCGCGAUUCCCAGUUGCGCGCGCCUGUACUGGCUCGCAGGGUGCAGAAUCUGUGGGGUUUUGCACUAAUCGCGACUGGAGAGAUCUUAAUUUCCUUGAGAUGCUUACAUUUUCCACCUGCAUUCAAAUCUGCUACUAGCAUGUUUUUGCUUGCCACCUCCUCAAUUGGCUCCAAACUGUAUGACAUGCUCGUGACAGGGAGACCAAGUAGUUUCAGUAGAGAAAGGCCUGAGUCUUCGUCUCGAACUUAAAUUCGUUACCUAUGAAGCUUGGCAAGCUUUUGCUGUCCUAGUUUAGUUUCUGCACUGAUCGAAAAAAGCAAAUAAUAGAUAUUACUAGUUUUUGUGCAUAGGCCAUGUAUAGCCACUCUACAUCAUUCGAACAAUGAGCUAGUGAUUGAUCACAGACGUCAUGAACUUUUAUUGCCUCCUUGAAUUAUUUGCAUCCAUACCGUGUAGGGAGAGUAGCUGUGAGUUGUCAUGCCACGUGAUCGAUACCGUGGUUCCCAUGCGGGGGUUUGGAAAGCUACAACGCCUAAAUAGCUUCCAAGUGUGAAUGCUCAUGUGCUGUAGAUAACAUGUUGAUUUAUUUAGUUAUUGUAUGUGGAAUGUAGGUUGAUGCCUUCGCCAUGUAAAAUUUUAUGCUAUCCAUGGUGGAGAAUCUGACUGUUGUCUCUUGUACAAUUUAGACUUUGAUUUGGAGAAAGAAAGAAGUGGGUUGGAUGAGCAGGGUUUAAAGAUUGCGGAGAAUCAAGAGACGAGCCAGAAGAACCGACGUAGACUUGCUGAGAAUACUCGGGACUUCAAGAAGGCAUCUCCAGAUGACAAGCUUAGUUUGUUCAACUCAUUGCUUAAGAGUUACCAGGAGGAAGUUGACAAUCUCACAAAAAGAGCAAAGUUUGGAGAAAAUGCAUUUCUCAACAUCUAUCAGAAGCUCUAUGAAGCCCCUGAUCCAUAUCCAGCUCUCGCUUCUAUGGCUGUAUGUCUUUCAAACUUACUCUCUACCGUAGCUUCUCUAAUUCGGCAUUGUUUGUUGUAUUCAUAGAGGAAACUGCCUUCAUGGCUGUCCCGACUUCUCUAAAUUGCAAGUUGCCACCAAUACUUAAUUUCUUGCCUUGUCGCAAUAAUCACUUGCCAUCUUAUUGGUAUUCAGUAUUGACGCCUACUGAUAUCUGAUAAUAACAGAUAAUUAUUUGUAUGAUUCUAUCGUCACUCUCCGAACAUAGAACUUUUGCUAUAAUAUGUGUCAACUUGCACUAAAUUAAACUAUAGGUGGGAAGCUGUUAAUCUGCAAAUAUAGAUGCGAGUUAGUUUGUUCCAACUUAAAAGUAGCGGUCACGUGUUAACACUAGUGCAGAUCAGAGUUAGCAACUUUGGGAAAAACCAUGAUAUGGCACUGCAGUUUCCUCCAACAAAAGUCUGAUGUGUUCAGUUUUGUUUAUUCCUUUGCUUGAAUGUCAAUAACUAGCAUCUUCUUCGAAUAUAAUAAAUGACAUUCAGUCAGAUUUCACCAAAGUUUGUUGCUAAUGAUCUCAAUUCAUUCAGGAUCAAGACCAGAAACUAUCUGAACUGGAGACUGAAAACCGGAAGAUGAAACUUGAGCUUGAAGAAUACCGGGCGGAAUCUGCGCACCUAAAGAACCAACAGGCGACGAUUAGGCGACUUGAGGAGCGAAACCGCCAACUAGAACAACAGGUCUGUUCCAAGGUCACUUGGUUUCCCGCUCUGUUUUUUUAAACUAGUCAGUUUUCCUUCUGGUUUUGAUGUUCUGCAUGAACGAUGUCAGUUUCACAGUCGAAUAAUGUUAGUUCCUUCACACUGGUGCUUUAUGAAAUUAUCCAAUUGGCCUCCUGUAUCCAUACAAUGGUAUUCUUAAUUUUCAUUUUCAUACUUGAAUGGCCGCAUUGUUCUUGUUUACAAAGUUUCAGAAGCCUCAUACUUUUCAUGAUAGAAAACUUAAGCCCUUCUUUUUACAUUGAUGCAUGAAUUCCAAAUUUCACCUGAACUAAAAACAAUUGUACCAUGGUCUGUCUGCGAAUAUACUGGCCCACUAGCCACUAAUACUGCUUUUUAGACAUAACACCAUUAGUCAAAAUAUUUUGUAAAUAUCUAAGUGGCAUUGCACUUGCAGCUGAAAUAUAUACAUUCCUUCCAGUUUAUGAAGUUUGUGUAUAGCGAGCAACUACUUUGAUGAAAAAACAUCGCUGAUUUCUUGUUCCACAUAGUUUUAACACACUUCCUGUUUCUUGAAUCAUAUCUCUUUUACCUUCUAAUGAGUUAUUUUAUUUUUGUGAUUUUAGAUGGAAGAAAAAGUUAGAGAGAUGGUUGAAAUGAAACAGCGAAGCUUGGCAGAAGAUAGUCAGAAAACUCUCGAAGCCCUGAAAGAUAGGUAUGAUAAAUAAUUGCAACGAAGAAAAUAAUUGCUUAACGAUUAUCACAAUUUAAAUUUAAGCUUUUUGAUUUUGAGAAUUUGCCACAUCAAAUAUGAUGAUGCAUAUGCUUAUUUGAAUCUUCGAUUGCCAUGAUUGUAGGGAACGGGCGUUGCAGGACCAACUAAGGCAAGCUACAGAAAGUGUCAAGAAUAUGCAGAAGUUACAUGAAUCGGCACAAAGCCAAUUGUUUGAGCUUCGUACUCAAUCAGGUUUUCUUCCUUUCUUUAGUUGUGUUACCUUGACGAUCGCUAUGCUUAAUGGUUCAAUAAUUAUGGAAGUUCUAAUGAAGUUUUAUAUUUUGUUCAGAGGAGGACCGGACAGCAAAGGAAGCUGAAGUGAGCCUUCUGAUGGAUGAAGUUGAACGCGCUCAAUCACGAUUAGUUAGCCUUGAGAGAGAAAAGGUAAUGUUGCCUGUUGCUGUUUUGGCUUUAGGAAAAUCCCUUGCAUUCAUAUGGUUGCAAUUCUCCCACUAUGGCAAUCGAGAUCUAUGCACAUUCUCUCAUACUACUGCACGAAACUUAUGGUGAAUUGGUGAUAGACUAUUAUCAAAUAAUCCUCAGUCGGUGAAUACAUUGAAUUGAUGACUGACACAUGUCAUGUGUUUGACCAAAAUGUGCACAUCCAUUAUUGGCUUCCCUAACAUACGAUUUUAUUCUUAUGUUCACUGCAGGGGGAUUUACGGUCUCAGUUGCAGACAACAAAUGAAGACACAAGUAAUAAUAGGUAAUUUUGUUUGCAUUUUUCCUGUGUAUGAAUGAGUAUGCAAGUGUGUAUUUGCAUAAUUUUUAUCAUUCAUAAUGCUGUUGAUACAGUGACUUUCAGCAGUAUUGCUAUUAUUUUAGCUGGGCCUUUAUGAUUAUCUAGAACUUAAUACUAACUUAUUAUCUGAAUUAUGUAAUUAUGCAGUGAUUACAUGGACCCAAGUGAUAUACUUGAGAGUUCUUUGAAUGCCAAGGAGAAGAUCAUAUCAGAGUUGAAUGCAGAACUGCGUAACAUUGAAAGUACUUUAUCAAGUGAGAAAGAAAUGCAUGUGAAUGAAGUAAAGAAGUUGACUGCUUUACUCAGUGAGAAGGUACCCAGUCAUUAAAAUUGCUAUGUCAAAAUUCAGUUGUCAGUAACCAACUCACUACUCGUAAUGUUGGCUAUUGGGUGCCAAGCUAUAAGUGAGGGACUCUACCAUUCUCUUAUUUAGAGAGUCCCCCUGUUUAUUCUUUUCCAUCAUCUGAAGGGCACAGUAGUCUUCUUAUGUGUAUCAUCAACCUGUCUAUUUACUUACAAUCCAUAUUCCAAAUAUUGUUCAAUAUAUUAAUUUCUUUGCUUCUAUCACUAUCAACAUUCUGUGAUAGGUGAGUUUCGUAGACAUGGCUACAGCCACUAGGUUUGCAUCUGAACCUGAAAAAAGCACACAGAGUGAAUAGUUCUAAUGAAGAUAAUAAUAAGUUACUUUUUCUACUAUAUGUGUGAGCCAUUUUCCAGUCACGAGUCGAUCCACCAUAUAUAUGCUCUUGGAAUGAUUUGUAUCUAUGCACCCAUGGUCCACUUAUUUGUUGUUUUGCUAAUUACUUUCUCUUUGUAGGAAACUGCGAUAACGGAGUUGAAGAAAGAACUUCAAGAAAGACCUACGACUAGACUAGUUGAUGAUCUCAAGAAAAAGGUUCAGAUUUUGCAGGUUGGAACAAAACAAGCUCUAUGGAUAAACAUGUUUUUGUUAAACCAUCUACUUUAGUUCGGACAUUUGACGACGUACCGUCCAUAAUCAACUGGAUCUUAACCUGAAUUCAUUGCCUCUUUAUCCUUUAGUGAAAUUUCAAAUACACAUGAUACAUGAGAUCAGCUUUUCAGUGUUGCAUCUUAAUUAUACUAAAUUUGCCCACAUCAUUUUGUUGGUGAUCACAGAGAUAUGCUUGAGAUACAUUUUGUUAUUCCUCCAUAUUACCCUCACUAUAUUUGAUUUUCUGUCCCCAUGCUUGCUGAAAUUCCUUUUUUUUUCCAAUAGGCUGUUGGGUACAACUCAAUUGAAGCUGAAGACUGGGAGCUAGCAACUAAUGGUGAAGAAAUGAGCAAACUGGAAGCUUUGCUUCUUGAUAAGAACCGCAAAAUGGAGCAUGAACUUACACAGUUGAAGGUUGGUACCUAGUUUAUAUGCUGGAAAAUGGUUUGGCUCUUUGGAGGACAGUCAGUAUUUGUCAUGUAUACAUACUUGUUAUCUUCUCUCCUGGAACUGUCUUGUAAGUUCUUUUUUUUUUUGCAUCUCUUAAAGGUUAAAAUAUCAGAGAAGUCAAGUCUUCUUGAGGAAGCUGAGAAAAAGAUUGCUGAACUAACUUCAAAGGUUGAAGAGCAGCAAAAAUUGAUUCUGAAACUCGAGGAUGACAUAUUAAAGGUUGCUCUCCUUACCCUUGUGAUAAUAUUUCAUAUAUUGCCAGUUGAUCCCCGUUGUCCUUUGAAUUUGAAUAUAUAUAAUCCUUACGAGCAUGUCUUCUGCAUAUACGGUUACCUUAUUUAGUGCUACAGUCUGAAUAGUGAUAUUAUGUUAUUACAAUAAACUACACAAUCCUGGGUUUCGAUACUUAAGAAACCAAAUAAUUUGUUAUGCCUUUUGUUUUUUGAAGCACACGUGUAGCUGAUAUGUUUAUUAACUUUGUUACAGGGCUGCAGUUCAACUGAUAGGAGGAGUUCUCUUUUGAAUGAUUGGGAUCUUCAAGAAAUAGGCUCAAAUGAAGUAUCGGAGGUAAAAUUCUAGUUUGGCUUCACUUAUGGCGAACCAUGUCGCUUUAAUUCUGCAUUACUCUUAGAAGCUGCAUAGUUCAGCCGUGGACAAUAAAUGCACGGGAAACACAGUUCAGAUGAUCAACUUUAAGUCCUCAUAGACAUCAUCUUAAAGCUAGUAUAAAGAUCUGCAAUUGUCAUAAAUGUUACCGUUACAACUGUUAAUACACGACACUGAAACAUUGAAGAGUUAGUGAAUUACCAAACACUUGUCUUUUUUGCACCAUGAUUUUCACAAAUCAUAACUGGUUUCAAAUCAACAACUGCUACAUUCGGUUGGUGAAUUUACUGUCUAAUUCUGAAAUCUAUGUUACUACGUGGCCCACUAGUCCGCAAGUGGUCUGUGUUAACCAUUUCUUGGUAGAACAGUUGUUCUCCUCGAAACAAAAUAACUCUUAAUAUAGCAAUCUUUCUUAUAUGUUUUAAUAUUUAGCGCCUCAGUUUCCCAGAAAAAAACUCUUGAUACACUGGUUUUGCAAACAUGCGUGUGAUUUUAAUAUUUAGCAGUAUAUGCAGUUGUUAUCAACAGUAUCCACAGUUCUACUCCCUCCGUCCGAAAAAACUCGUCAUCAAAAUGGACAAAAAGGGGUGUAUCUAGAACUAAAAUACAUCUAGAUACAUCCCCUUUUAUUCAUUUUGAUGACAAGUAUUUCCGGACGGAGGGAGUAGAUGUUAAGGCAAAUACCAAAUGUGCCUAAGAAUCAUUUCAAUACUCACUUUUUUUGUAACAGUGCAUUUGAUUUUGAGUUAUCUAAUCAGAUGGUCACUACAUCCAUGUGUAGCUUCACUUGUUUCUUUUCAUUUAUUUACAGGGUACUGAUCCAAGGAAUUCAUCACCAGACCAAGAUCAAAGUUCCAUGCUCAAGGUCAUCUGCAAUCAGAGGGACCGUUUCCGUACACGACUACGUGAAACCGAAGAGGUAUAUAUUAUAGGCUUCUAUUUUCGACAAGGUUUGGUAAUGAUAUAAGAGGGUCAUUUUCCUUGGUUUUCUUGAAAGUUGUGGUUCUGUUAGGCUUUUCUUGGAUUUUUUUUUAUCCCAUGACUUCUCUUUGCUUCAUGAAAUAUGAAAAUGCAUCACCACUGACCAUGUAUUGUCAUUUUUACGUAUCCCAGGAACUGAGGAGAUUAAAAGAGAAGUAUGAAAUGCUAGCUGUAGAAUUGGAAAAAACAAAAGCUGAUAAUGUUCAAUUGUACGGAAAGAUUCGAUACGUCCAGGACUACAGUCAUGAGAAGAUUGUUUCUAGAGGACCAAAGAAGGUUUAGCAUAAAUCCUUAUGAUGGACUUUACAUACUUCACAUUGUCUAGCAUUUGACCUUUGUUAUGUUGCGCCUUGCAGUACGCAGAAGAUAUUGAAAGUGGUUCUUCAGAUGUUGAAACAAAGUACAAGAAAAUGUACGAGGAUGACAUAAAUCCUUUUGCAGCUUUCUCGAGGAAGGUAGAUAUAUUUGAACAUAUCAUCAGCAACACAUGUUAUCUCUGGUAUUGUACACAGCUCAAUUAUGUUCUUUUUUUGCCAUAUCCAGGAAAAGGAUCAAAGAUACAAGGAACUUGGUAUAAGAGAUAAGAUCACUCUCAGUAGUGGCCGUUUUCUCCUCGGUAACAAGUAUGAUACUAUCAUUUUUUGUGGGGUGUGCAGUUCAGGUUUUCCUUUUCUUUGUAUUUGUUGUAUUACCGAUCUUUGAUGAUAACUUUUAAAUUGUUGUAGAAACAGCAGAGCUAUACAUGCCAAGUUUUUUAUUUGACCAUUCCCAAUGUCGUAUGUCUUUUUUGAAUUAAAUAAGUACAGCACCGAUGACUCAGGUGUGCAUGGAUCUGCCACUGAGAUGUACUCCCUCUGUAAUGAAAUAUAAGAGCGUUUAGAUAGUGCUAUUAUAUUUCUUUACAGAGGGAGUAGUUAAUUUGGUUCCAACUUCUUAAAUUAUACCCUUCGUCUGAAUCUUUGUUUAGAUUUUAUAUUUGGUCAUUGUGCUCAUGUCUAAACUUUAAAACUGACCACCAUUGAUUAAUCCUAGCCCUUCAUGGAUAAGAAUGCACAAGUGAUUGCCAUUUUGUAUUACAUGAUGCCUUAGUUUCUUUAUUGUAUGAUUUUAUCCAUGAAGCGGACUGAAAAUAAAUAUAUCAAGUGUUUUGUUUGUAUUCACAUAUUUGCCUGGACUUUUAUAUUCUCCUACACUAAUGAAUUGCUUGAAUUUCUGUAUUUGACCAAUGAAGCGGACUGAAACAAGAAAUUAAUGUAGCAUGUGUUCUGUUUGUAUUCACAGAUUUGCCCGGACAUUUAUAUUCUUCUACACUAUUGGAUUGCAUCUCCUCGUGUUCACGCUGCUGUACAGAAUGUCAGCUUUGAGCUAUCUGAGGUAAGCAUGCAUCGCAUCGUCAGUUUCAAUUUGAGGCCCUAAGCAUGAGCACGGCUAACUUGAAAUAUUUGUGCAGCAUAACACCUGCACAUGAUGAGAUCAUCCUUGACGCUGGCAAUCAGACAUUAUCGCACAUGCCCUGAGCCAAGUUUGAUGUAACAGUAUUAUCACUUGAUCAGUACCGAAAGGGAAGCGUUCCUGGGUUUUGGUCUCGAGAAUCUCUGCAUAGGAUCAUGACUGAAGUUUUUAGUUUACUAUGCCCUUUAGGUGCCUUGAUAUGUUCUCUUCUGUAGAUAAAUUUCCAGUAAAGCGGGUGAGGAUUAAGGGGCGAGGUGGCGGAUGAGGUGUGGUGCUUGAGUCAUUCUGUAAACUGUUGUAUUACCAAAUUGCCCUUUCGAUGACAAAUGAAAGCACAUAUGUACAAACACAAUGCCAUCCAAAGUAUGUUUUCAGCAUAUAUGGUCGGAAGUUUGUGGCGAGGACAGUUGUACAGAAUCUAGAAAUAAAAAGGAUUGAGGGAGUAAUAUUAGAGUUGUCUUCACAUUAAUUUAGCAGGAACAGCCUUAAGCAGAUAUUUGGCAAAAGCAAGUUAUCUGGAUUCCCUUGUAUGCGAAAGAUGAAGUUUACAAGUUGAAGUAUUCAAAAGUUGAAUUCUUGCAACUAAAAGAUUUUUUUCCUGAAAAAGGAGAUGACUGCUUUGCCUCCGAAAAAUUGAAAGGAAGAAGAGAAACCAUGGGAGGCAACGUUCCUGUUGACAGAGGCGCAUGUAAUGGCUUUGUUAAUCUUAAAACCUGUUAGCUUAGUAUCUUGGAGGUGUUCAUAGGAUAGGGCAUGCAUGCCUGUAUUUGUAGAGAUGAGCCUAUUCAUGGGGAUAGGCGUAUGUACUUGUUUGUGUACUGCGCUUCUGAAAAAACUGGGGAGGCAGGGAGAGAAGGCGUGCAAGAGUUAAACUUGGCGAGCUUUAUCCAUUUAAAAAAAACAAACUUGGUGAGCUUUAUCUGAAGAGCGAUCCAGCCGGAUUACCUGUCGAGACCCACCCGCACGCACAGUAAACCCGCUUGUCUUCAACCACGAUCAGUCGCUGUACGCUCCCACGCCCACGGAUUGUCCCCAACCACCGUGCACAUCCACUGCAACCCGCAACCUCUCCCGAGCUACAAAAAAUUCACACCGUUUUGCCGACCCUCCGGCACGCGCAAGUGACACCAACAGCGACGGCGCCGGGAACCUGUGGACCGCCGAGGAGCCGAGGGGCAGCCCACACGCAGGCUCGCGCGCGCGCAGCUAGGAGCCAGAGCGGGGAGAGGGACCGGGCUGUACUAGGGUCGCUGUUUGCGGUCAAUUCACGGCGGCGCGUAGCGCAGCGCCGAAUCGACAGGCGGCCGCAGGUUGGCUCCGGGAGGGGCCUGGUAGCUGGCUACUACGGGCCAUGCACGGUCGUGGUCUCCGAUGCCUACGCGCCACAAGGGAGCCCGCGGGGCGGACCGGGCCACGUCGAGCCCCAGGCGCCGUCGUGAUCUGGCGCCGCUAUCCGCCGAGUCGCCGGAGGGCGAGAUGCUGAAAAUAUGUGUGGGGCGGCAAGCCGGAGUGGCCGCGUCGGGUCGACACGUCGGCCCUCGCGUACAUGUGCAUCCCUGUGGUAGGUGUGUUUCACUGUACUUGUGGUGUGCUACCAUCACUGUCCUGUGAGCAUCACCGAUAACUAAUCCGGCUGAGGUACAGUACUCGUUUUCUUUUUGCGAGUGAAGGUACAGUACUUGUUAGGAUUACACGUUAUAUCCCCUCAAAAAAAAAGGAUUACACGUUAUAAAGCUGCGGAAAUGAUUAUACACGAACAGAAUCGGUGUACAAAUAUUUUGUUGAUUUUGAUAUAAUAAAUAAAAGACGUAACCAUUGCAAGUCAUGCAAUUAUUUUGUUUGUAAAAAUGCAUUAUUUCAUAAAAAAUGUAAAAACAUGACCAUUAGCAAGUCAUGCAAAAAAUGUAAAACGAAUUAUGCAUAAUAAAAUUCUUACACGUUUAUGCAACUUAUUGCGCAACAAAUUCCCCCUUUUGGAGACAUUUCUAUCAAUCUUUUUCCCGUAAUUUUCUUAGCGUUUUUUGAUUUUCCCCAUAGCAUUUAAAGAUGAUUUCUGCAGUAUGUUAUUCAUGUUUUUUGUGCGGGCAUGUUAUUCUAGUGUUUGCUAACCACAUGCUCCAUGGGGUUACGUUAUUCAAGUGUAUGCUUCAUACUAGUACAGUUAUUAGGUGCCAUGCCGUAACAUCAAUGUAUUGCUUACGCAUAUCAUUUCAUUAGGGCAUCUCCAAUCAAUUACAUAUUAAGUCGCAUCAUUUACUUAAAACAUACAAAACAACCAACAACAUAAAAGGAGAAAGAGCAACCAGCUAAGGCAACGUAAUACCAGUUUCCUCCUAACAAACUUUUGUCAUACGCAGAAUUCCACAUGGCAUACUACAAUAUGCCUAAAACCUCGCAGAUGAGAGGCAACCUACUCGCCAACUUAUUCUUCCAUUGUAUAUUAGCUUGUCUGCAAAAUGGUGAUGUGUGAACCUCCCAACUUUCCAUGUUAGCAUGAAAAUUCUGUUUUGCUAGUGGACAAUGGAGGAAAAUAUUGCACGCUUUCUUAGAUGAAACAAAACUUGUGGGGCGAUUGACAAUAACUUCUCUCUCUCUCUCUCUCUCUCUCUCUCUCUCGCUCUCUCUCUCUCUCUCUCUCUCUCUCGCGCGCGCGCGCGUGUGUGUGUCUCAUAAAUAUUUCUACACACACAUUUACUUGUUUUGGAAGCAAGGGUGUGAAGAAGCCACCCAUAGUCUCACAUUGGUGUUGUCGAAGCUAGAAUUACAAAGGAAACGAUAUACCUAGUUUCAGGUGUUGUAUGAUAUGCCAUAACAUCGGUGUAUUGCUUACGUGUAUCAUAUGCCAGGGCAUCUCCAAUCAAUCAUAUGUAAAAUUGUAUCUUAGAGCUUUCACAUCAUUUUCAUCAAACAAAAUGAAUUAGCAGCUCAAAGGGAGAAAGAACGGCCAACACUGUACCAAUUUCCUUCUAAUGUCAUACGUAAAAUCCCAUAUAUCAUACUACCUACCAAUAUGCCUGAAAUGUCCUGUUGAAAGGUAACCUCCGCACCAAUGCAUUCUUCUAUCUAUCUUAGUACGCCUGCUUAAUGGUGAUGUGCAAAACUCCUAUAUUUCUACGUCCGCAAGAAAAUUCCUUAUUGUUGUUGGACAAUGAAGAAAAUAUUGCACGCUUUCUUAGGUGAAGGAGAACUUGUGGUGCGAUUGACAAUCUGUUCCCCAUCUCAGUUGGAGAUAAUUUUUUUUGGCACACACACUAACUUGUUACAAAAUGGAGGGCGUGAAGGGCCCACCCACAACCUCACUUGGUACCACGUGUCACCCGAUGUAUGGAGCUGGUGGAGCCAAAAUUAUUGAGAGAAUGAUAGGCACAUGUGUUGGUAAUAUCUCUUAGAGGCAGUCAUAGAGAUGAUUAUAUUUCAUUGUGUCCAUAAAUUGUUGAAUUUAACUUGAAUAAUAUCAUUUGUAUUCAUUGAUAAGUAUGUGAAUUGUUUGUAGAACUCUAUGCUUUAAUGAUUAUUCUAAACUAGUCCCUAGUUAGAGUUCAUACUUGGACAUUUAAGAAUACUAGACUAGCAUAUGAAUUGGUUGUUAACCACGUGUCAUAGGUCAUUGAAAUGAAGAUGUAGAACCAAUAAUGUGAACACAUAGUAUGAACCUGGGGCUGGACAAACCCAAAUUGACACAUAACGGGAAUGCUUUUAGUUGUCUAUUUACAAUGUAUAUGCUACAUCCUUAGACGUGAGACUAUCACAUGUACUUUUGAUGUGUAGUGAAUUAGGGGUUACCAAACGCUACUCCGUAACUAAGUAAUUAUAAAGAUUGCUUUUCUUGUUUAUCAUAAAACAUGCUUUAAGGCAUGCAUGUCAAGAUUGGAUUUGCUCCUCUCUUCAAUGAGAGAUAUGUCUAUGGGCCCCUAGAGUGAUCAGAUCCAGAAAUGCAUGGUUGUUCUACUUAUGGUUAAAGAGUUAACCUAGCAAAGAGUCCCAAGUCACAUGAUCAAGAAAGAGUGGUCAAGCUUGAGCAUAAUCAAUAUCUUCAGGCAAAGGGAAUAUCGUUUAUGCAACAUUGUGUAGGUUCGUCUGAUAUGAUCUUUACGUGCACUUGGAGGUUGACACAUUCUGCUAGGGGUCAUUACUAACUACUACCUCUGUCCGGGUUUAAAAGUUCCCUUAGCCAAAUCACCAACACCAAGACAUGCUCUACCACGAGAUCCCUGUAAGCUCGUGUCUAGUCUAACCAACUAGAAGGCCUCAUUUCUUAUUUAUACACCGGCUGCUAACCUCCCAAGCUUAACUGCAGCGCGUGCCCCACCAAAAGAAAGCGAAUGCAUUGGCUGCCUUUCUACUGUGGCCGCAUGCAGUAGCUGGGAAGUAGGAACGACUGCUGCAUGCUUUGGUUUGCACUUACUACCAUGGACACAUACCAAUGAGGAGAAGCGGGGCUUGCGCAAGCGACCUUUUAAUCCCGGACGAGACGUAGUGGAUCUCAAGCCCUUUAAUCCCGGACGGAGGUAGUAGUGACCAAGUAGAGGUACUCCGGUCAUGUACAAACGUGCGUGAGCCUGUAGUGUUACAUACUUAAAGGACAGAAGUCAAAACGGAUAUGAUCCAGAGGAUGUAAAGAAGAAAGGUGAUUGGGCCUUGAGCCCAUUAGGGGAAAGAGUUGAGGGAGCUCCCCAAGCCCUCAAGGGAUCGUCCCUUGUAAGGGGUGGGGGGUGGGGGUGAUGAGGGAUGCAUAAGAUGAAAGGUUGCUACUCUCGCACACACCCACUCUCCACUCCCGCACAAGAUUUCAGAGUUGCUACCAGAACUUUGCUAAUGGCUCUAUAUUUUACGCAUUUUUAGAGCUCAUUUGUCGCAUGUUCUCUUUAUAUAUCAUGUCCCGUUGAACCAAAUAGUUGUCCAUUAUACAUGUUUACCGGUAUUUGCACUUAUCAUUGUGAGCAUUGCACAUUUAGUAUUUUAUUUGGUUUUUAUUAGUUUUCCUUCUUUUCUUGUGUCUACAAGUGUUUUGGAGCAACCUAGGACCAAGCACGAUAAAAUGACCCAGGAUGGGUGAGGGAGUCCUGGAUAAUGGGGUAUCCGGACAGCCGGACUAUAUACUUUGGCCGGACUGUUGGACUAUGAAGAUACAAGAUUGAAGACUUCGUCUCGUGUCCGGAUGGGACUCUCCUUUGCGUGGAAGGCAAGCUUGGCGAUCCGGAUGAUAGAUCUCCUUCUCUGUAACCGACUCUGUGUAACCCUAGCCCCCUCCGGUGUCUAUAUAAACCGGAGGGUUUGGUCCGUAGGACAGGACAAUCAUAAUCAUAGGCUAGCUUCUAGGGUUUAGCCUCUACGAUCUCGUGGUAGAUCAACUCUUGUAAUACUCAUAUCAUCAAGAUCAAUCAAGCAGAAAGUAGGGUAUUACCUCCAUCGAGAGGGCCCGAACCUGGGUAAACAUCAUGUCCCCAGUCUCCCGUUACCAUUAGCCUUAGACGCACAGUUCGGGACUCCCUACCUGAGAUCCGCCGGUUUUGACACCGACAUUGGUGCUUUCAUUGAGAGUUCCUCUGUGUCGUCAUUAUAAGGCUUGAUGGAUCCUUCAAUCUUCAACAACACAGUCCAGGGUGAGACUUUUCUCCUCGGACAGAUCUUCGUGUUCGGCGGCUUCGCACUGCGGGCCAAUUCGCUUGGCCAUCUAGAGCAGAUCGACAGCUACCCCCUGGCCAUCAAGUCAGGUUUGGAAACUUAAAUUACGCGGCCGAUAUUCGCGGAGACUUGAUCUUCGACGGAUUCGGGCUUGCAUCAGGAGUGCCGAACAGUCACGACGAGCAUGGCUUAAAUCUGCUAUCGGACAGUAUUUCAGAUAUCGCCCCUGCAACCGCUCCGGACCUAAAUCCGGGGCAGAUUGCAUAGACCGAGGACGGGUGGAUAGACCCCGCCACGGAGGCCGCAUACUCUUUGGCGGUAGAGCCGAACACAGACUCCACCGUCAAGGGGAUCUGCGCCACCGGACCCCCGGACCUGUGUCCGGGCGUGGGCUCCAAACCGCGCGCGUCCGGACCCAUCGAGUCCGAUUGGGCUCUAAUAAUGGAGUUCACCACCGCGGAUAUCUUUCAGCACUCCCCCUUCGGCGAUGUGCUAAAUUCGUUAAAGUCUCUCUCUUUAUCAGGAGACUCUUGGCCGAACUAUGCCCAGCCCGUGUGGGACACGGAUGACGAAGAAAGUCGCAACCCACCCACCACCCACUUUAUAGUCUCUGUCGAUGACCUAACAGACAUGCUUGACUUCGACUCCGACAACAUCGAUGGUAUGGACGUCGAUGUAGGGGACGAUCUGGAACCACCACCCACGGGGCGCUGGACUGCCACUUCAUCAUAUGACGUCUACAUUUUGGAUACGCCUAAAGAAGACAAUGGUGACAAAAAGGACACAACGGAGGACAAACCCCCCGGACAAAAGUCAAAACGAUGAUGCAGGCGCCGCUCUAAGUCUAGUCACAGUAAAAAUGGCGAUAACAACGCAAGAAAGGUUGACACUCCGGUCGACUGGAAGGGCAACAACGACCAUAUGGACCCAGCGAUGGAGCAGGAUAAGCUAGGUCACGCCGAACACAACUCGGAGCAGACGCUUGAUAAUAGCGAUCCCGAGGGCCGAACUCAUCAAACCACCCCCGAAGAGGAUGAGAGUCCGGUCGACGAUGCAUUCAUCAUCCUGGAAAAACGUUUGGAAAAAGAUAACCUCCGCAGAAGGUUUAUUGCCACGGCGAGGAGCUUAAAGAAGCAGAAGCAAAGGCUUAACACCGCGCAGGACAUCUUCAAACGAAGAUGGAAGAAAGUGCUAGACACUGAAGAAAAAUACGGCGAUGAUCGCCACACAAAGAGCUACCAAAGUGCAAGCUACUACUCGAAUUCGACAAUGAAGCCUUAGAGCCCAUUCCACCAAAGAAUACUACGACCGAUCAACCGGACCAACCACCUCAUGGCCACGAUAGAGCAGCCACCGGUGCCGCACACAAGCCAACCCACGAUCUACGUGAGCUCUUGGACAAAAAGGCUGGUGCGAAAGGUCCAUUUACGGAUCUAGAGGACGAGUUCUGACACAAGAUUAUGGUCACCAAAAUCAUAAUGAUCAAAUACCAGUUCAGAAUCAAACCCGGACACAACAACCGUCGACAGUAUGCCACAACAUGUCCAAGUACAGAGGGGCUGCGCACCCCCUGUGUUUCACCGACGUGGUGCUGGAUCACGAAUUCCCACAGGGAUUCAAACCCGUGAACAUAGAGGCAUACGACGAAACGACAGACCCUGGGGUCUAGAUUGAAGAUUUUAUCCUUCACAUACACAUGGCUCGUGGGUACGACCUCCACGCCAUCAAAUACCUUCCCCUCAAGUUUUAAGGACCAGCUCGGCAUUGGUUGAAAAGCCUCCCCGAAAACUCAAUUGGAAGUUGGGAGGAACUUGAGGACGCUUUCAGGGCAAAUUUCCAAGGGACCUAUGUCCGACCCCCAGAUGCAAACGAUUUAAGUCAUAUAAUACAACAGCCCGGAGAGUCAUCCCGUAAGCUUUGGAACAGACUUCUCACUAAGAAGAAUCAAAUUGUUGAUUGUCCGGAUGCCGAAGCCUUAGCAGCCUUCAAGCAUAGUAUCCGGGACGAGUGGCUUGCCAGACACCUCGGCCAAGAAAAGCCAAGGACGAUGGCGGCCCUAACAAGCCUUAUGACCCGCUUUUGUGUGGGCGAAGAUAGUUGGUUAGCACGUAGAGGCACCAGCGACCCAGGCACAUCUGAAAUUCGAGAUGGCAACAGGAAACCACGACGCAAUAAGCAUAAGCGUCGAAACAAUGAAGCAGGUCCGGACAACACGGUGGUCAACACCGGAUUCAGGGGCCCUCGACCCGGUCAAAGAAAGAAGCCAUUUAAGGGCAGCAAUGAGGAACCGUCCGGCCUGAAUAAAGUCCUGGACAGAUCAUGCCAAAUCCAUGGCACCCCCGAAAAACCUGCAAAUCGUACUCACAGAGAAUGUUGGGUCUUCAAGCAGGCCGGCAAGUUAAACGCCGAACACAAAGGAAGGGUAACACCAAGUGAAAACGAGGAUGAGCCACGACAGCCGAACACUGGGGGAUAGAAAAAAUUCCCACCAGAAGUCAAAACAGUAAAAAUGGUCCACGCAACUCACAUAGAGUUCGUUGCCCCCAAGUUCAACCCCUGGGAGGCCUGCCCGAUCACUUUUGAUCACAUGGACCACCCGGCCAGUAUCCGGCACGGAGAAUCGGCUGCCUUGGUGCUCGACCCAAUAAUUGAUGGAUACCAUCUCACUCGAGUCCUAAUGGACGGCGGCAGUAGUAUUGAUCAGAUAUAUCAGGACACUAUCCGCAAGAUGGGGAUAUACCCAUCCAGAAUAAGCUAGAGUAACACCACCUUUAACGGAGUGAUACCAGGCAUUGAGGCCCGCUGCCGGGGCUCCCUCGUAUUAGAAGUGACAUUUGGUUCUCCUGACAACUUCAGAAGCGAGGAAUUACUCUUUGAUAUUGCUCCCUUCAGCAGCGGUUAUCAUGCAUUACUCGGAAGAACGGCCUUCGCUUGCUUUAACGCAAUACCGAACUACGCCUGCCUUAAACUUAAGAUGCCCGGUCCACGUGGCGUCAUAACGGUUAAUGGAAACACAGAGUAGUAUGCGACAGCUCCCGUAGCCAGACACUAAGCGGCCUCUCCCACCAGAACGCAUGAUCGGUCGUUAAGACCACGGACACGGCUAGACAAGUCCGGUGCACCAUCAUCAACAACAGCCCGGUAAACCCGGGCUGGGUGCUAUACAUAUAUCCCCAUAAAUGGUACUAGGGGCUGUCAACACAUAAUAAAGCCCACAAUUCGGCUUGCCUUAUCAAUAGGCCAAUAUCUCAUAUUUCUAAUAUCCAUUGAGAACAACCAACUUCCCGCAUGCUUACUCCUCUAUAUGAGUUUUCGUUUUUACAGACACUACUCGUGCGACACCCUUCCAGGAUACGACACAACGAAGACAAAGGCGCAGACGUGCAGCAGGGCCCCGCUCAAAGGUUUCUCUUUAGAUUAAGCCCCUGCAUAAACCUUCUUUACUGUCUUUUGUUGCUUGACAUCCCAUGGGUAUUCCAUACACCCACAAGGGACACUGGCAUUAUAGGCUUUUUGCCACGACAGAUUAAUGCACGUACCUGGAAAUACAGGGUCAAGGGUGUAACUCAGCCUAGUAUAUGUUAUAAAGUCCGAAUACCUUCGGGAGUGUUCGGCGUCGCGAGUUUGGCCUUAUAUGCAUCAGCACCGAAUCAUGUCUUUGGUCAAAUGUUGGGUUAGCCCGGCUCCUGGGUUUGCCGCCUUACGUUUAGUUCUAUCGGCUAAGGCGGCCAAAGGAGAACUACUGCGAUUGUGCCUUGGUUAUUCCGGAUGAGCACCUCAGUAGAGAGAGCCGAAAACUGACUGUCAUGAUACAACGAGAGACUGUUCAACCACUUGAAGACUCAUCGAAAUCUAUAGGAUUCCUUCGCAUUAAUGAAGGACCGAUUCGCGGUCAUGUACAUAUGCGACCCUAUCCAGAUGCACGCGGAAGUACCAGGGGCUACGUAGUAGCCCCACCUUUAAACUCCUAUGACUAAGUGGAAGUGUUACAUCUAUAUAGUCCGGUUGCCUGAUUCGAUGUGCGAUCACCUCCUUCAUGGACCAAGACAUUGGAUCAAGUGUGUUUACAUAUUUUUUUGAACACCCCUGCAUUAUAUGCGUGGGGGCUAAAGCCAACGACUGCUAACUUUCAUGUUAUAUGCAUACAUAAACGACCACACAGGAGACAUUAUAAUACUUUCAGGCAAAAGUAUAAAAACAACCUCUAUAAUUAACACAUAAUUGUUUACAAUCAAUAGACGAGAGUCACUCGAACAUGACAUUCUUCGAGCACUAAGCCUCUAUUCUACGGGCACCUUCUAUGACUUGCUCAAAAUAGUGCUCGGCUGGGUCUUGGCUUCCUGCUGGACCCUGGGUUGCAAUGCUGGUGGCCUCCAUAUCCACCCAAUAUGUCUUAACACGGGCAAGAUCCAUCCGCGCACCCUCUAUGCACGCCAACCUCUUCACGGCAUCAAUUCGCGAUCUAGCGCCAAAUAGUUGCUGCACUAAACCAAAGUAACUGUUCGACCUCGGUCCUUUCGGCCAUAGAUGGUCUAUUACAGACCUCAUUGCAAGACCGGACAACCUAUGGAGCUCAGCUAUAGCGGCCAUCUUCUCACUUAAUGGCAAUGAGCGCGUUGGAGCGCUAAAUUGCGACCAGAAUAGCCUCUCUAUUUCAUUAUCUUUAUGAUCCUUGAAUAACUUGGUCGCAUCAGCGUACUCUUCGCCAAGUCCGCGUACUCAUCUGCAGCGCUCCAAAGUUGAUCCAAAGGAGCAUACUUUGGAUCUAAGAACUUCAUCCGCAACAAAUAGGGGUUUCCAGCCGCGAUUUCUCCAGCUUGUCGAAGUUCCUCCCGUGCAUCUCUAAUGUUAGAGUGCAUCUCCUUAGCCGAAUCCAGCACCUUCUUCAGGUCAACCGCCUUUGCCUGAUUCUCCUUCUCGAGAAGCUCAUACCGGACGGCGGCGUCCCUCAGCCCCACAACCAUCUCGGCUAUCUUUUCUUCGCUUUGGAGAUGAGCAGCCUGUUCGGCUCCCAAGUCUUCGGCUGCCUUUAGGGCAGCCGCAUUGCUAACUCGGGCUUGUUCCUUGGCUAGGGCAAGCUCCGCCCUCAGGGCCUCAAUGGCAGCAGCUCCGCCUGCAGCCACAUCACAUCAUAUUAAUAUUAUAACCUUCUUACAGUUUCCUAAACAAAUAAGGAAAUACGAGCGCAUACUCUACGACUCGUCGAAUCGCUUGUUUACAAGCGUGAUGUCGGCAUCCACCACGUCAACCUGUCGCCUCAAUUCGGCGAAUCCAGCGGUCUGGUCUACCGCCGGACCCUUAGCAACAUGCACAUCAAUACAAGUGCGAUUAUUACCUGGGAGUGUGAUCCUCCGUUUGCCGCCAUGGGCUGGCAACCACAGUCUCAGGGGCUACUAUCUAUACAGAGCACAUCUAUCGCGUGCGGUGCAACCAAAAAUUACGUAUUUCAUUGCUUACCUCAAAGCCCUUGAGCAAGCUUCUAAAAGCUUCAUUUAACCCGCUUGUGGCCGAAGAAAUUUUCUCCAACACCGUACCCAUUAGUGUACGGUGAUCCUCCGAGAGAGCAGCUUGCUCCAGGAGGCCCGUCAGUAUGUUCGGCCGGGCACCAGACUCUCCCGGACCCUUCUCAUUGCCCUCCACAGGAGCUGAACGCGUUGGGCUCGGGACGGCCGAAGUGUUAGCUUCUGGCCUCAGUGGAUCUAGACUCCUCCGUGACGACACCUUAGGGUCGCCUGCCCCAUGGGGCGGAGAGGCAGGUGGGGUUUCACUCUCCAUCAUCUCCGGAAGAAGAUCGCCCGAGGACGAACCCUGUUGAGACGAACUGCUAGCCGGACUGCAAAAAAUAGGUCCUGGUUAUUACUCUCAGAGGAAAAAGCAAUAAGCUUCUUGUUUAUUAACUUACAACUUGGUGGAGGGCUGGUCCGUUAGCGGGCAUGGUGCGGUAAGAACGCCCUUCGGGGCAGGGCCCUUUGGUGAAGUUUUCUUCCCUUGUUUAGGCGCAUCCGUUUCCAAGUCUUCGGAGGCGGCCCUCUUCCUCCCGCGGGGGGAGGAAAGCUUAGAUUCACCUCCCCGAUUGUCCUCCUCCAUGGAAACAUUAAUUCCCCCGGUUCGGAUGCAUAAUGUGUGAAGCUCACUCUUGGCUUCUCCACUCCUCCCUUCAUCUUUCUCCGAUGGCACUUGACUUAGCUCCCGUUUAAGCAUCCUGGCUAUUGCCAGACUGGGUGAGACUUCGGGAAGCGGGGCCAGACACCUGAUUCUCUCUGCCUUACUGAGCCAAUCUUGGUCGCGGACAGUUUUUCAGAACAAUGUUAUGAUAACUAUAAACGAAGUGUUCGGUCACAGGGUUACUUACUUGGGUAUCUGGGCGGUUGCAGCUCAGGCCCGCAUCCUCGGUGGUGUCCGGACACUUUAUUCAUGGUCCGAAGAACAACUUAUACAUUCCUUCAGGCGUCAUGCCGAAGAAGUGCUGAAUGGUUCGCGGACCUUCUGGAUUGAACUCCCACAUCCGAAGAGGUCGACGUUUACAUGGCAGGGCCCGCCGAACUAGCAUUAGCUGGAUUAUUUUGACAAGACUAAUAUCCCUCUCGAGAAGCUCCCGAAUGCGGCUCUGCAACGUCGAUACAUCAUUUGCAGGCCCCCAGUCUAGUCCCACGUUGGCCCAUGACGCCAGUUGAGGCGGAGGGCCCGAGUGGAAGGCGGGGCGGCCGCCCACUUUGAGCCUUGGGGAGCUGUGACAUAGAACCAUCUCCGUUACCAUAGAUCGGACACCUCCAGGAAGGAACCUUCGGGCCACGGGGCAUCGACGUUUCUGUUUAUUUUGGCGCCUCCGCACUCUGCGUAUCGCCUCUCGAUCACCCUCGGCUUCACACUGAAGGUCUUGAGCCAUAAGCCAAAGUGUGGGGUGACAUGGAGGAAGGCUUCGCACACGAUGAUAAACGACAAGAUGUGAAGGAUGGAAUCCGGAGCUAGAUCGUGAAAAUCUAGUCUGUAAUAGAACAUGAGCCCUCUCACGAAGGGAUCAAGAGUCAAGCCCAAGCCCCGGAGGAAGUGAGAGACAAAUACGACACUCUCGUUGGGCUCAGGAGUAGGGAUAACCUGCUCAGGGGCGGGAAGCAUGUGCUUAACAUCGGCAGUCAAAUACCCGGCCUCCCUAAGCUUCACAAUGUCCUCCUCUGUGACAGAGGAAGCCAUCCACCGGCCUUGAUGGUCGCAUCCGGACAUGAUCGAAGAUCCGAGGUGCUUAAGCUUGAGCUUUGGGUGUUGGAACUCGAAGUGCGGGAAGGUGCAAGCGUGGAGAUAGAGGGAUAGGCCUUGACCCCUCUAUAAAGGGGGAGAAUAUCAAGCGUCCCCAGCGUAACCGUUCGGGACUUGCCUAAAAACACGGAGUCAUGCCAACAUGCAUGCUUGGAUUACCAUACCCGUAUUGAUCAGGAUGCCAUGAUAAGAGGGACACGAUCUCUGCUUUGACAAGACGUGCCAAAGGAACCACCUCGUAAUGUGUGCGGUAGCUGGUUAUAAAAAACGGUUCGAAUAAAUGCCGGACCGUGGCGUGAUGUCACGUUUCGAAGAUUUGUCAGCAGAUUAGAUUCGUGGAUUAUUAUUCUCUCUACGGUGGUAUGUGGAAUUUAUCUUGCAGAGCCAGACACGGUCCUUUUGAUCGGAAUUUAUCUUGAAGUAUUCGGAGAUGGAACCCGCCUUGCAAUGCCGAAGACAAUCUGUGCGCCGGACUCAUCAUCAUUGAAGCCUGGUUUAGGGGCUACUGAGGGAGUCCUGGAUAAGGGGGUAUCUGGACAGCCGGACUAUAUACUUUGGCCAGACUGUUGGACUAUGAAGAUACAAGAUUGAAGACUUUGUCCCGUGUCCGGAUGGGACUCUCCUUUGCAUGGAAGGCAAGCUUGGCGAUCCGGAUGAUAGAUCUCCUUCUCUGUAACCGACUCUGUGUAACCCUAGCCCCCUCCGGUGUCUAUAUAAACCGGAGGGUUUGGUCUGUAGGACAGGACAAUCAUAAUCAUAGGCUAGCUUCUAGGGUUUAGCCUCUAUGAUCUCGUGGUAGAUCAACUCUUGUAAUACUCAUAUCAUCAAGAUCAAUCAAGAAGGAAGUAGGGUAUUACCUCCAUCGAGAGGGCCCGAACCUGGGUAAACAUUGUGUCCCUAGUCUCCUGUUACCAUUAGCCUUAGACGCAUAGUUCGGUACCCCCUACCCGAGAUCCGCCGGUUUUGACACCGACAAUGGGUUUGAUAUGGAGUCAGCCAGGGGUCAGACUUAGUCAUUUUGAAAGUCAGAAAAAUUCAUUUUUCCAAAGUGCUCCAAAUCAAUAUCUAAGUCCAGAAAUGGAUCAGUGUCGUUCAUACAAAUCCAACAAGCCCAAGAACGUCAAAUUCUGAGUUCGCAUGAAGAUUUGGCAGCCGUUUGACGUGUAGACAACUCCGAAAGUUGCCCUACCAGACGGGAUUCUUCACCGAUUUCGUCCAUGUUUGAUCCCAGGGGAUCCUCGGCUCGUAAAGAAGAGAUUGGGUGAGGAUUUGACUCAUUGAGAGCCCUUGGAUGAAGCCCAUAAAGAGAGGAGGCUAGGGAGGCUCCUAUAUAUGUCAUCAACCCUAUCUGCCGCAUCCAUCAUACACACCAGGUCAUUCAUCUCAUUCAUCCACAACCAUCUCCAUUGCUCCACCACCAAGAGAAGGAAGGGACAAUCACCAAAAAAAGAAGAAGGAGGUUCCACCACCAUGAGCAGUGGCCUUCGGGCUCGCGCCCUCGCGCCGGCGCCGCCACCAUAGGUGGUGCCCCCAUCUCCAUCACCACUGGCGCCACCACCAUCUUCAUCACCAUCACCACCGCGUCGCCUCCAUCACCACCAUGUCUUCUCUCUUCACCAGCUUGAUGCUAGAUUGUAACUUGUCCCCAACCUUCAUGUGUUUGAUUGAGUAGUUGUACUAGUUCUUGAGGAUGGUUGAACCCUAUAUGAUAUUUGUUGUGAUCAAAUAUUACCUGUUCAUGAUUCGUGUUAGUAGCCUUCGCGAAUGUUGACAGGAGCACUCAAUCGCAUUUGUGCCUUGUGUCGUGAAGUAUGUUACAAUCCUUGUGAUGGUUGGGGAUAUUAGGGUAAGUAGAGGUGACAAUAAAAGCCUCGGUUCCUCGCCCUUGCAAAUGAUUGGGGAGUAACGAAGAACCCUUAGAGAGGCCACUUCCAUGGAGAAACCCUUAAUUAUCAUUAAUUGUAACCUUAUGGGGGAGACUAUGAUGGUGAUGUGCGUGGCAUGAAGUCUACCUUGAGUGGAACGUGUAUUCUACCCGGCUCCACCCACUUAUGUAUCUGACCGGUUACUAGAGGAUACGAUAGUUCAUAUGUGGUAGUGAUUCCAGAACCCUCAAGAACACUUCACUACUCAAGCGCCGUCUUACUAACUUAGUGUCAUUUAAUUCCUAUUUUUAUUCUUCUUGUUAGUAGUUUAGUCAAAUCCCUUUUAUCUAGUUUUCCUAGCAAUGAUAGAGUAGACUAUUUCCAAACUCCCGUUUGGGUGCCUACGUGGCUGCGUGAAGGUGACAACAUAGUUGCGGGGUUUGUGGUGCCUUCCUAUUAGCUGCCUAUGGGUUCGACACUCUACUUAUCACGACGAAAGUGCUACAAUAGCCUUGUGCACUUGCAGGUCAUCAAGCAUUUUUUGGAGCCAUUGCUGGGGAGCAUAGCGCUUGGUCAUUACUUACCCACUCACACUUAGUUCCUUUGUUUGUUGACAUUUAUCUUACUGUUUUUCUCUUAGCCCAAAAAUACCAAAAAUAUGUCUUGUCCUGAGAUGUCUUCUGCAGAUGCUGCAAUAGAACAAACCGAAAAGAGAGGAAUGACGUAUGCCCAUUACUGGUAUUCUCUUAAAGGUAUUGAUGUGGAAACAAAAUAAAAUUCUUGGAUUACUAUGCUGAAGAUAUAUUUAAAUUCCGUACUUUUUGUGAGUAUUGCCAGUACAAUGAGCAUAUGAGUUUUUAUUGCAAGUUCCACCCUUGCCUUAUUAUAUCGUCAUACAAUCAUGAUGAUUAUCCUUUUGAUUAUGUUGAAUCGAUUGAGGAGCAAGUACUAUUCCUUAGAACCUCUUAACUUAUGAGAAGGGUAAAAGAGCUUACUCUGUACUAUCUAGAGGUUUCUACAUAUAAGAGUAACUUGCAGGAUAUCCAUGACUUCUGCAUUACUAAUAAUUUUAAUAGAAAUACUUCUUUCAUGGAAUAUGAGAAGCGGAAUCUCAUAAGGCUCUCAAUUACAGGAAAAUAACCUCAUGAAAGAAAUCGAGGAAAUACUCGAGCGGUGGAAGAGAAAUACACUAGAAGCUACAUUCUAGGAAGUAUGUCUAAGAGCAAGAAGAAAAAUGAACACGGAGAUGAAGGAGGGAAAGGCCACCUUCCGACAACUCCUACUAAUCAUGGUAACUUUCUAGACACAAUUAAUGGCCAGCUCGAUGAUCAUUUAUCAUAUCUACAUUCUGCCAGAGCUUUCAUGAAACCUAUUGAAACAAUGCUUGAAUGUUUUCCACCAGAGGAUAUUGUGAGAGCUAAUGUUUCAAAGUUAUAUGUUGUGCAUGAACUAGAUAUUGCCAUUGUCCCUGAUGUGCCUUCAAUGACUCCUUUUGAUGAAAUGUCAAUUGACAUUUGCCUUAAGGGCGAGAUAGCACAAAAGGAGGGUGAGUUGCUUGCAUUACGAGAAAUACCAGAAAGUGAUGCAACCACCGAGAUGGCUAAUCAUUACUCAUUACCUGUGGAUUGUUGAUAUUGGACAAACCCCAAAUUGCAUAUUCAUAAAUUGAUCUUGAUGAUAUAUGGGUUGAUUUUCUACAUGCUCUCCAUAGACCUCCUUUGGAGAGUAAAUUGCAAAGCCUUAUAGAUGAUAAUAGCCUUGAUAUUGAAUUUGUGAAUUUGGAUACUAACAUUCCCAGGUACACUCAAGAUGAAUCCAUAUCCUCUUUGUUUCAAAAAUAUUAUCAAAUUCCAGCUACUGAAACUUUCAGGCAUCUCAGCUGAACUGUGUGCAUCGGUACUCGCCAAAGAGCUAGUACGAAUUUACUUAUAUGAUGCUAAUGCAACGUAAGCGAGUGCGACUCCGACCGAGCCUUGCUAUGAGGUGCUCCAAACCCCGGUCGGAGUCUAGCCUCACACUCGUGGUUGAUAUCCCUUGGGAUCCGGGUGGAUGACCUUACGAAGCACCGAAGCCUAGCUAUAUGGCUAUAAAUAAAGCACUGCUUGGGAGGUAACCCGGAAGUCCAUAGGUGUCUUUUUUAGCUUUGUGUCUUGAGUCUAUAUGCAUUCAUUAUUGCAUUGGCACUUCUAUUUUUUGAUUUGAGUAGUUGCUAUUUGAGUUGGUUGCAAUAGUUUCUGUUGGUAAAACUUAUAGCAUGUCGGUAGCCUAUUUUUGUUGCAUACCUCCUCCUAUUUUUAUUGCAAUAUUGCUAUGUGCCUAAUGUGAGGAGGAAGCACAAAAAAUUUCAUGAAGUUCUGCAGGUCCAGGAGAAAAAAAUGACAUUACAUUACAUUCAUGAAUUUCCUGAAGUCUUGAAGGUAAUGAUAUGCACCCAGGUGUAACGAGAGAAAUCGUCAACUAUGACGAAUCCAUAGAGUGAUGCUGCAUUGGUUAGUGUGGCAUAAUGUGUAGGACCAAAUAGAUCCAUAUGAAGUAAUUCAAAGGGACGAGUAGUGGUUGAUACGUCUCCAAUGUAUCUAUAAUUUAUGAAGUAUUCAUGCCAUGUUUACAACAAUUUUAUAUGGUUUUGGUAUGAUUUGCAUGGAACUAACCCGAACUGACGUUGUUUUCAACAGAACUACUGUGGUGUUGUUUUUUGUGCAGAAAUGAAAGUUCUUCAAAUGAGCUGAAACUUUUUGACAAUUUUUUGGAACAAAAGAGGCACUAGAAGCUUCAUGGGGAGGGGGGGAUACGUCUCCAACGUAUCUAUUUUUUUGCUUGUUCCAUGCUGUUAUAUUAUCAUUCUUGGAUGUUUUAUAAUCAUUUUAUAGCAAAUUUAUAUCAUGUUUUGGGACUAACCUAUUGACAUAGUGCCCAGUGGCAGUUGCUGUUUUUGCUUGUUUUUUACUUUGCAGAAAAUCAAUAGCAAACGGAGUCCAAACAUAGCAAAACUUUUUGGAGAUUUUUUGGACUAGAAGACACCUGUUGGGCCAAAGAAGUACCAGAGGGGGGCUCCGAGGGGAGCACAACCCACCUGGGCGUGCCUGGGGGCCCAUGCGCGCCCUAGUGGGUUGUGCCCACCUUGGCCGCCUCCCCCACCGCCUCUUUGCUCUAUAAAUACCCCAAAAAUCCAAAAACCCUAGGGGAGUUUACGAAACACAAUUCCAGCCGCCGCAAGUUCCAGAACCACCAGAUCCAAUCUAGACACCAUCACGGAGGGGUUCAUCAUCCUCAUUGGUGCCUCUUUGAUGUUGCGUGAGUAGUUCAUUGUAGACCUACACGUCUGUAGUUAGUAGCUAGAUGGGUUCUUCUCUCUCUUUUGAUUCUCAAUACAAUGGUCACUAGGAGAUCAAUUUGAUGUAACUCUUUUUGUGGUGUGUUUGUUGGGAUCCGAUGAGCUUUGAGUUUAUGAUGAGAUCUAUUUUAUCCAUGAAAGUUAUUUGAGCCUUCUUUUGAUCUCUUAUAUGCAUGAUUACUUAUAGCCUCGUAUUUCUUCUUUGUAUCUUUGCUUUCGCUAGGCCGACUAGAUCGAUUAUUCUUGCCUUGGGAAGAGGUGCUUUGUGAUGGGUUUAGUCAUGUGGUGUUCUUUCCCAGUGACAGAACGGGCAGCAAGACACGUAUUGAUCGUUGCCAUUAAGGAUAACAAGAUGGGGUCUAUUCCUACAUGAAUAGAUCUUGUCUGCAUCAUGUCAUCGUUUUUAUUGCAUUACUCCGUUUCUCCAUGAACUUAAUACACUAGAUGCAUGCUGGAUAGCGGUCGAUGUGUGGAGUAAUAGUAGUAGAUGCAGGCAGGAGUCGGUCUACUAAUCUUGGAUGUGAUGCCUAUAUAAUUAUCAUUGCCUGGAUAUCAUCAGAAUUAUCUGAAGUUCUAUGAAUUGCCCAAAAGUAAUUUGUUUACCCACUGUAUGCUAUUUUCUCGAGAGAAGCCACUAGUGAAAUCUACGACCCCGGGUCUAUUUUCUCAUCAUAUAUUUUCAGAUCUAUAUCGCUAUUUUCCCUUUUUUAUUUAUUUGCAUCUUUUAUUUUUAGAUCUAUAUUAUCAAACACCCAAAAAUACCUCGCUGAAUUUUAUUUACCGUUAUUUGCAUCUAUCAAUCUACCACAAUUUUUAUCCCGUCAACAUGACAAUUUCUCGCACCAUUACCUAGAAGGGAUUGGCAACCCCUUUUACACGUCGAGUUGCAAGUAUUUUUUCUUUAUGUGCAAGUACCGUUUACAUAGUGUUGCUUGGUUCUCCUACUAGUUCGAUAACCUUGGUUUCAUAACUGAGGGAAAUACCCACCGAAGCCGUGAUGCAUCAUCCCUUCCUCUUUGGGGAAAUACCGACGUAGUUCAAGCGACAUCAAAAGGAAUUUCUGGCGCCGUUGCCGGGGAGACAUCAUCAACAUCUAUCAGGUUCCUAAUCACAAAUCUCAUCUCCUUGCAAUUUACAUUAUUUGCCAUUUUCCUCUCAUUUUCAUCUCUCCCACUUCAAUUUUUUAUAUUUUAUUUGCCCUCUUUUUCGUUCGCCGUUUUCUCGUCGGAUCUAUUUUUGUGUGCAAUCUUGUUUGCGUAGUCACGAUGACUCAAGAGAACACAAAGUUGUGUGAUUUUUCCAAUACCAACAACAAUGAUUUUAUUAGCACUCUGAUUUCUCCUCCCGCCACUAGUGCAGAAUCUUGUGAUAUUAAUGCCUCUUUGUUGAAUCUUGUUAUGAAAGAUUAGUUUUCCGGUACUCCUAAUGAGGAUGCCGCAUUCCAUCGUAACACAUUCGUAGAACUAUGUGAUAUGCAAAAGAAAAAAAUAUGUGGACAAUGAUAUUGUGAAGUUGAAAUUAUUUCCGUUUUCUUUGCGAGAUCGUGCAAAAAUUUGGUUUUCUUCUUUGCCUCGCAAUAGUAUCGAUUCUUAGGAUAAAUGCAAAGAUGCUUUCUUUACUAAGUAUUUUCCUCCCACGAAAAUUAUUUCUCUUAGAACCCAAAUUAUGAAUUUUAAGCAACUUGAGCAUGAACAUGUUGUAGAAUCUUGGGAAAGAAUGAAAUUGAUGCUAAGAAAUUGUCCUACACAUGGUUUAAAUCUUUAGAUGAUCAUACAAAAUUUUUAUGCGGUAUUGAAUUUUGUCUCUAGAAAUAUUUUAGAUUCCGCCACGGGUGGUACUUUUAUGGAUAUCACAUUGGGAGAAGCUACUAAAUUGCAAGAUAAUAUCAUGGGAAAUUAUUCACAAUGGCAUACCGAAAGGGCACCUACUAGUAAAAAAGUUAAUUUGGUUGAAGAAAUUAGUACUUUGAGUGAAAAAGUUGACGCUCUUAUGAAAUUGGUUGCUAAUAAAAAUCCUCCUAUUGAUCUUAAUGAUGUGUCUUUGUCUACUUUGAUUGAGCAAAAUAGUGAUGCCAUAGAUGCGAAUUUUAUCUCGCGAAGCAAUUUCAAUAACAAUGCUUAUAGAGGUAAUUUUAAUCCUAGGCCUUUUCCUGGGAAUUCCUCUAAUAAUUAUGGUGACUCCUAUGGUAACCCUUCUUAUAGUAAUAAUAGGAACACCUUGAUCUUGAGAAUAAUAUUAAAGAAUUUAUCAAUGCUCAAAAAGUUUUCAACAAUACGAUAGAAGAAAAGUUGAAUAAGAUUGAUGAUAUGUCUAGAAGCAUUGAUAUAAUUUCUCAUGAUGUAGAAAAUCUCAAGAUAAAAAAAUUUGUACCCAAGGUUUAGGAAUCAAUUAAAGCUUUAUAUGUUUCUAUGGAUGAAAUUAAGAAAAGAACCUCUAUGCUUAGAGCUAAAAGAGAAUUUUUAGAAAAAUCAUUUUCUUGUGAUUGCUUUCGUAGAAGUGAUGAAGAUCUUAAAGUGAUUGGUGUUUCUUCUAUUGAUUCCUUGUUUAGUAAGAUUAAAAUUGAUGAUAAAGCAACUAGAGAAGAGUCAACUUUAGCUAGAAGGCGUCCAAUAAUUCGGUGGGUGAAUAUCUUGAUGAAAAAUUGAUAAAAGUGGGUUUGGAGAGGUCAAAACUUUAGCUAAUUAUGUGCCCACUCUUUUGGAUUACAAAGACUUUAAUUAUGAUAGUUGCUCUUUUAUUGAAUGUAUUUCUUUGUUGUAAUCCAUGAUAAAUUCACCCCAUGCUUACGAACAAAAUAAAGCUUUUACUAAACAUAUCGUAGAUGCUAUGAUGAAAGCUUUUGAAGAAAAGUUGGAAUCAGAGAUCUCAAUUCCUAGAAAAUCACAUGAUGGAUGGGAACCUACCAUCAAAGUCAAGAUCAAAAAUUAUGAGUGUUUUGCUUUAUGUGAUUUGGGUGCUAGUGUUUCUAGAAUUCCGAAAUCUUUAUGUGAUGUCCUUGGUCUUACCAAUAUCGAUGAGUGUUCUUUAAAUUUGCACUUGGCGGAUUCUACUAUUAAAAAACCUGUGGGAAGAAUUAAUGAUGUCCUUAUGUUUGCAAAUAGAAAUUAUGUGCCCAUAUACUUUAUUGUUCUUGAUAUUGAUUGUAAUCCGUCUUGCCCAAUUAUACUUGGUAGACCGUUUUUACGCACUACAAGUGCCGUGAUUGAUAUGAAAGAAGGCAACAUUAAAUUCCAAUUUCCACUAAGAAAGGGUAUGAAGCACCUCCCUAUAACAGGAAUUAAGCCACCAUAUGAAUCAAUCAUGAGGGCAUCUUAUGGAUCUAGAACUAAUGAUGAUAAUACUUAGACCUAUGCUUUAUGCCUAGCUAGGGGCAUAAAACGAUAGCGCUUAUUGGGAGGCAACCCAAUGAAUAAUUUUUUUGUCUUGUUAUUUCUGUUCUUGAGUGUUUGAACAAUUAUGCCUCUGAUUAGAUGUGUUUUAAUGUUUUAAUUAGUGUUUGUGCCAAGUUAAACCUUUGGGAUCAUGUUGGGUGAUAGUUGAUUUGAUCUUGUUGAAAAACAGAAACUUUUGCACUCAGUAAAAUAAUUUUCAUAAAUCACACAAACGUGCUUUUUCUCUGAAUUUUUUUACACAAGAUUGAUGUACAAAUUACCCACAUUGUCCUAAUGUUUCAGAAUUUUUGGAGUUACAGAAGUAUAUGAAGUUUUCAGAUUGCUACAGGUUGUUCUGUUUUUCACAGUUUCUGUUUUCUUUGCAUUGUGUGCUUAUUUUGAUGAAUCUAUGGACUUUNNNNNNNNNNNNNNNNNNNNNNNNNNNNNNNNNNNNNNNNNNNNNNNNNNNNNNNNNNNNNNNNNNNNNNNNNNNNNNNNNNNNNNNNNNNNNNNNNNNNNNNNNNNNNNNNNNNNNNNNNNNNNNNNNNNNNNNNNNNNNNNNNNNNNNNNNNNNNNNNNNNNNNNNNNNNNNNNNNNNNNNNNNNNNNNNNNNNNNNNNNNNNNNNNNNNNNNNNNNNNNNNNNNNNNNNNNNNNNNNNNNNNNNNNNNNNNNNNNNNNNNNNNNNNNNNNNNNNNNNNNNNNNNNNNNNNNNNNNNNNNNNNNNNNNNNNNNNNNNNNNNNNNNNNNNNNNNNNNNNUGGAAUACAGUAGAUAUAAUGCAAAAAUAAAAUAUAAAUGGGUUUGCAACAGUACUUAGAGUGGUGAGUUGCUUUGUUAUACUAACGGGUCCCAGGAAGGUAUUGUUAAGUUUUGUGUGAUUGAAGUUUUCAAGUUUCAGGUGAAAUCACGAUGGAUGAAAGAAUAAGGAGUAAGAAGAGCCUAAGCUUGGGGAUGCCCAUUGACGGUGUCCUGGACCAGGGGGUACUCACGACGUCGUCUCCCGAUCAGUUGGAUUGGGCCGAGGACCCCCAUGGCCGUAUACUCAUGGGCCAGUUCAGACAGCUGCCGCAUACAAGGAAGAUUCCAUAGAACUUGGUGAUCAAGACAAGGACUCCUCCCCCACCGGCGUAUUCGGCCAGGACUCUUGUUAUCCUAGGCCUCUGGUAAAUUAUAUAAACCGAGGCCAGGCUAGUCGAUAGAUUAUUAUGACAUUACUCAUCAUACCUCUAGGGUUUAGACCACAACAUAUGAUCUCGGGGUAGAUCAACUCUUGUAAACCCUAUACUCAUUAAAGUCAAUCAAGCAGCAUCAUCAAGCAGCAUGUAGGGUAUUAUCUCAUCAAGAGAGCCCGAAGCUGGGUAAAAUCCCGUGUUCAUGUUACCAUCGAUCCGAAGACGCACAGCUUGGGACCCCCUACCGGAGAUCCACCGGUUUUGACACCGACAUUGGUGCUUUCAUUGAGAGUUCCGUUGUGUGAUCGACAAGAGGAUCAAUGGCUCGACUGCAGAUCAACUGCGACCUUGACUUCUUCGUCACCGGCUCGACUGGUCACCUUGGCUUGACCGAGGACUGUGCCCUGCCUCCGAUCGUCAUGUUCGGACAAGGGCCUUCAUCAAAACUAACUCUGAUCUCUAUCAAGAUCAUGGAGGAAUCAUCCAUAGAGCUCGGGGGAUCAACGUCAACAUUGCCCUCGGGCGACCGUGUUGUUUUUCUGGACAACAAACUUGUAUGCGCCGCCACCACCUCCUCGAGUGUUGCUUAAACGAUUGCUUUGGUGGAAUUAUGCAGAAUUAAGUCUACAACAACCCUGCAAAAUUUCGUCGAGUUCCGAUGGAGGAAUCUCCGGCAAUCUUCGAUAUACCGGAGCCCUGUUGAAUCUGGACUAGAAUCCGGACGAGUUUGGAGCGUGGUGUCCAGCAUCUAGCUCGGACGUCCUUUGGAAUAUCCAACUGUUGAUCGGCUGCGGAAUUCCUAUAUCUACCACCUGUCAAAAAUUCAGCUCGAUCCGACCGUCCAAACUCCGGAAACCUUCCGACUAGUGCAUCAGUUUUCGGAUCUGUUUUCUGCGCGAGAACGAAUCCGACCCGAGUUCAUCUUAUUUAUGAACGAGAUUGCAGACAUCCUUUUUGAAGGAAGUUUUUGUACGAGGUAUUGUGUUUUAUUCUCAAACACAUCCCAUUAAUAUUAAAAGUAUUUUUACAAUACGAUCUUCACCAUCGCGCCGGUGUCAAACCGGCUCGACAACAUCACUCCACGGCGGCUGACCUGCGCUAGACACAUCGUUGCUUUGUUGAGCCGAGCUCAACUUCUUCGGAUCAUCAUCUCAGCCAGCCAAACAAUAGUUCGGCAUCUCGAAGGAUAAAUCGUCACCAAUAUCGCUGCUACAUGGAUUACACGGAGCGGGCACACCGGCAUCGCCGCACGGUCUCUUCAUGAAGCCAGCAUUGACCACGUCACAAGUUACGACCUGGGUUGACAUGGCCGCACUGUUGCCUCUUCGAGCCUAUGUCCAUCACGCCGAACUACUUCAACACCUCGGCUGACAUGGCAGCUGGAACAUCUCCUCACCGACCUGCUCCGUCUCCUCGCCUGGACUGGGGGCUUCGUCAUCCCUUCAUGAACUCACUUCGGAUACUUCGACAUCACCGGCCGACCAGCUUCAUCACAUUAGCUGGACCACGGGCUUUGCCUCGGCGAGCCAACCUUUGCCAGCAUCGUCAUGCCUUCGCUUCAUCAGCCAUCAGGCAAUGGGUGUGUGGAUCGAAUCCCAAUUUUGGGAGUAACCUUUCUUCGGAACGCUACAACAAACAAACCAGGUGCUAUUAAUCCUAGCAUUUUUUGCUUGUUUGGGUUUAUUUUUCCCAAGGAAUUAUUACUCUGCUUUGUUCCAUCAUCUAUUCAGAGGUCUAUCAAAUGGUGGCCGCAUUAACGACGGUUGCAUGGUGGUUCGGUCAGUUUUCAUGCAUAGUUCGGCGCACGCCGUAUCCGGAACUCAGACCGACCUGUGAAUUCGGGCUUUGUCACGCCUUCACUGCGUCACGCCGACGCCCUGCAUCGACAUUGACCUCGACGCUCAGGCCAUAUCUCUUUCAUUAUUUACUUCACUUGUAUUAAAUAAGUAGAAGAAUUUUUUUAUAUACAUUAUUAUCCUUAUUUGUCAUUACUUUUGGUUUGCACUAUUUUAUCUAUGCAGCCAAUCGACUCAGACUGAGCCGCGCUGUCGCCUCCAUCGACCGAAUUGUGUUGUCGCCUUGGCGCGCUGCCCUAUGUUGGCAACCCCGCGUCGUCGCUUCGUUAGCCUAUUCAGCCGGAGACUCCGGUGUCAUCAAUGCCGAACACAUUAAUCAGCUAAGUUGCUUUCAUGCUAAAAAACUUUCAGUUUUAAAUUUUGUUCGGUUCGACCAAGCAUUAUACUUUUUUUGGCAAAAAGUUGUUUGUGACAAAGUUUCUUGUCAAAACUUUGUAUGUGACGCACAUAUUCAAAUACCCCGUUUAUUUGGGGGCUCCCUUGAUGGAGCUUUUCCCUCUUGCAUAUGAUUAUACUUGUACGGCUUCAUUCCUUGUUCAUGUAUUACGCCACAAUAUGCACCAUAUUGACCUAAGUGAUUUGCAAGCUGGGUUGCCUGGCUCCUGUGCUUACCCCUACAUUCCCGAUUGUUCGGCUAGGGAGUAAAGGGAGCACAUCUGCGAUUGUCACAAUCAGGUCAUCCGAGCCAGACCUCAGACUGGGUGAAGCCAAAAGCUAGCGCUCUUACUGUUUUCAAUAAUGGUCGGCACACAACGGAACUCAUGGGUACAAAAAAUCUAUUGCACAAGUCUCAUAGUAAUAAUGAGCAACCGAAGAAAGGUAUCGGUGGGGGUACUAUUUUCUUCGAAGAUGCUUCUUACACUUCGGCGGUAAUAUAGCAUAAGUUCCCUGAGCGCGCUUUGUUUGUUACAGCCUUAUGGUUUGAUUGCCUGGUUAUAGGAAACACCGUCGAUAUUCUCGACAGCUGGAGUACAUAACACUUUUCGGUCCUUAACCGAAGAGGGAGAAGCCGAUGAUCGGUUAAGACGCGUUCAAAGUUCGGGUGAACACAAAUGUGAUAUAAGUACUUCGGUACAUACAAUCAUCAUACAUAAAAUUCUUUUACCCAAGUCACUUGGGGGCUCUUAAAAUUUAUAUGAGGUGUUUUAUAAUAAAUGUGUUUCCUUCUUGGUCGUUGCAAAGGGUUGACCCGCGUGAAGUCUUGAGAUCGGAUGCGUCAUGUUAAAGCACGACAGAAGCACAAUUUUUUUUUCCAAUUUUUGGAUUGGCACCGAACACUUGAUCUUGUUCGGACGUAAAGUUUUUACUGAUGUUUUUUUGGUUUUACAAAGCUUAUGGCACUUUUAGACUAUUUGUGUGUUUCCAACACAAGUCUCGCGGUGCAAUGCCAGACACCUUUAGAGAUUCGGCAAAAACAUUCUCGGAUAUUGCUAUAUAUGCAUCGGUUUCGAAUUGUGUCUUCGGUCAAUAGUUGGGUUGCCCGGCUCCUGUUCUUGCCUCCUAUGUUGCACUUUGUUUGGCUAGGUGUGCAAAGGGAGAACCACUGCGAUUGUGCUUCCAGCUCGCAUGGUUAAGAACCGCAGUGGAGAAAGCCGAUAACUGACUGUCACAAUAGGUGUAAACUGGUCAGCGAUCCGAUGACCAUGUUAAAUGACGGGCCGUUCAUAACAUGGCCGAAGUGUUUACGGCUUGACCUUGGCUGUCGCCGAACACUAAUCGGGGGCUCGUAGCUAGCUUCCCAAGUUUAAAGCUCCUAUGACUAGGUGAAAGUUAUAAAGCCCGCAUAUAUGAUUGCCUCGUUUCCGCUAACACAACCGCCUUCGGGCACCGAGACGUUGGCUAAGUGUUGUCUUGUUAUUGUGGAAACACCCUGCAUAGUAUCUACAAAGGGGUAGAAGCCGACGAUGGGCCACUUUCAACUGAUAAACAAUCGCAACGGAGUCAAAAUAAACAUAUCAUCGGCAUUUGUAUUUAAUAUACAAGCGCCGCCUUCUGUAAUCAUUGUUAUAAAGCCAUAAAUAUGCAUCAAUUUGACUUAAGAUUUUGGCACAGCUGGGUUGCCUGGCUCCUGUGCUUACCCCUACGUUCCCGAUUGUUCGGCUAGGUGGUAAAGGGAGCACCUCUGUGAUUGUUACUACCGGGUCAUCCGAGUAAGUACCUCAGAUUGGGUGAAGCCGAAAGUUAGCAAUCUUAAAGGAUCACAUUGGUCGGAAACGACGGAAGUGAAAAUUUUGGUUCAUUAAUAACAAAGUUUGGGAACUUUCCCCGAACUGAAUCCUCAAUAUUUUCCUCCCACAUUGACCGGAGGUGAGGUUUCAUGAUCAUGAUAAGCAUGACGACCCAAAGAAAGGAACCGAUAGCGGGACUAUUUUCCUUGGAAGAUGUUUCUUACAUUAAGUAAUAUAACAUAUCUCUCCGCGUACCUUUGUUUAUAAAACCGUAUGGACGGAUUGCCUUGUUUUCCAUAAAUCUUUGCCCUUAUAGCGGCUUCAUAAAGUAGGAAAACACUCCUCAGCUACUGGCCAAAGAGGUUGAAGCCGAUGGUCGGCCAACAAAGUUUUGUACAAUGCAGAUCCAAGCAUUAAUGAUGUAAAGUACUUGGAUACAUAGAGCCAUUACACAUAAUUUGUGAUUAUACUAUGGAUAUCGAUCCUUAAUUCGGCCACCCGUGCCCGCAUUAAGGAUCGGGGGCUACUGGGCUUCGGGCUUAUUAUUUACAAAUAUUAAAGGGGCACAUCGAUCCCCUGAUCCGGUGUUGCCACCCGACCAGUGUCUCGGGGGCUACUACAUUGCCUAUUCAAUGCAGAAAAUUCAAAGCGCUCAGUGUUCGGCUUGACCGGACUAUGCGCAAACGCGUCUUCAGACAACAAUAGGUACCAUAUGGACCUUUUCAGCAUCAAGCUGGUAUGUUACGACAACUUCUCCAGACCCUCUCUCAAGGGCUCGUUAGCCGAUCACCAUUAUCUCUAAUAUAUUACACCACAUUUUUCCCUAAGUAUGCUGCCGAGCUGGGAAUUGAUCCUCAGGCUGAUUUUACGAAUCGGCCUGAGUCUCAGGGCUACUAGGGUCAGCGGUUUGGUUUUUUCCUUCAGGUGCAUCCCAGAUAUUAGGCCAACACGCACCUUGAGGGCUACUGGCUAUACAUCUCGGCCAAGAUUACAUUGCACAAUUCAGAAUUAAAUUCAUAAAAAUUAGCCCAUGGCCAAGGUGGUGCACCACCUCGGAAGCAGUCCGGCAUAAAGCUCGGGCGCUAGUGGCUGGCUCCAUAGCGGGCAUUUCCGACAUUAAGCUCGGCUAAACUCCUUCAAACUUUUUUGAGCCAAGGUGAUCUAUGACACCUGGAUAUAGUCCAACAUUGGAGCUCGGAUACAGUCCGGCGUUGGAGCUCGGAUACAUUCCGGCAUUGGAGCUCGGAAGCAGUCUGGCGUUGGUGCUUGGCUGCAAAAGAUACCUCGAAUGCAAUCCGGCGUUGGGGCUUGGAUGCAAGAGGACACCGCCGCAUGGGAACAACUUCAAACCCGAGGUGUGGCGUAAAAAACAACCAGGCAUUGAUAAAGGCCGAUAACUUAAAGGGGCUCCCUGGAUACCCGACGUGUAAACUCUUCGGAUGCACUUUGGCGAUCUUCAAGAUCGAAGAUAAGGAGAUUUGUUGAACCAGUUUUCAAGACCGACGACCAAAGAUGAAGAAUAGUUCAGAAGAAUCGAGGAGCGUCCCCACUUGAAGACCGGUUCAGGGGGCUACUGACGGUGUCCUGGACUAGGGGGUACUCACCACGUCGUCUCCCGAUCAGUUGGAUUGGGCCGAGGACCCCCAUGGCCGUAUACUCAUGGGCCAGUUCGGACAGCUGCCGCUUACAAGGAAGAUUCCACAAGACUUGGUGAUCAAGACAAGGACUCCUCCCCCACCGGCGUAUUCGGCUAGGACUCUUGUUAUCCUAGGCCUCUGGUACAUUAUAUAAAACAAGGCCAGGCUAGUCGAUAGAUUAUUAUGACAUUACUCAUCAUACCUCUAGGGUUUAGACCACAACAUAUGAUCUCGGGGUAGAUCAACUCUUGUAACCCCUAUUGUCGGAGUAAUGGGCCACGGGUAGGCUCACCCAAGUCCCAUGAUUUAUCAAGACUUUUGGACCAGCUCCGCCUAGCUAGGCCCCAAGCCGAAGCUCCGCCCUCUGAGGCCGGCUGGCUCAGCGGCCGGCUGCCAGAGGGCGGUUGACCCAAGACUACGACGCUCCGGGUGACCGGCUCCUGGCGGCCGCCCUCUAGAGAGGGCGGCUACAGGCAGGCGGCUACCUCAUGACUACGGGGCGGCCAUGCUCCCAUCAAGAGUACAAGGCAAAGCAUGGCUACAGUGAAGCACGUCGCCUCCCACGCUCGAGACGGGCGUGGCUACAGUGCUCUGUAUAGACGGAGAUCUCCGCACGACGGAGCAUUGUGCCGUAUCUACCCUGACGUUGCCCCGAGCAGGCGGAGCCCUGUCCCCCACGACGGCCUGUCGGUACGGCCCGCCAGAGGCGGGCCCUAUCGGGCAGUGACCCUAAGGAAGACGGCGAAAGCUCGACCAAGCGGAUCAGAGAGGGGCCGGCCUCCAGCAGGUGGCCGUCCCUUGUCCCGAGGCGAGCAUGCCAUUAAGCUGAUAAGACCAGGUGUGGCUAUAGUGUCCUCCCACCAGGCGGUGGGACUGUAGCCAUGCUAAGAUGACCAAGCCCCCGUCACUAAAUACACGGCUACAGUGAACAGCCACCAACCAGUCGGCAGGCCCCACCAGGCGGCAGGCCCCAGCGGUCGGCGGAGAAGCCGGAGGCUGGAGACACUGACAGCCGGGCCCAGCAGCCGACCAGAUUACCAUUGUACCCCUGGGGGGUAGGCCUAUAUAAACCCCCCAGGCCACCCAUGCAAAGGGUUCCCACUCCAUUAGAACUAGCCACCCCCUAGAGCAGGAAGAGAGCGAGCCUUGCGUCCUUCUACCUCUAGCGCACAUCUCGAGGAGCACCAUUAUAUCACUUGUGCCUUAGUGAUCAUGCGGAGACCCCGAAAGCAGGACUAGGGGUGUUAUCUCCUAGGAGAGCCCCGAACCUGGGUAAAGUACGCCGACGUUCGUGUCUACGCCUUAUCCCGCUUCCAGGCACCGGCGAUGUUCUACUCGCUCCCACCAUGAUAAGCCAUCCUUUGGCAUAUGUCGCAUCCAACCCCCUACAUUUGGCGCCCACCAUGGGCCGAGGUGCACCAUCUCCUGGAGAUCUGCUCUGGACGGGAACCCUGUUCCUUCCUGGCGAGCAAAGCCAACCCAGCACGCCUGACGGCGUCAGCCCCGACGCGCUGCACGGCAUGGAGAUUGCCUGCACGGCGAGCUGCCCCGCUGACCUCGUCGGCGAGAUCGACCUCUCCGACGAGCCGGCCUCUGACGCGGGCACAAGCUGCCCUGAGGGCCGCCUCGUCAGCCUCCUCGACCAGCUCCAUGUCGCCAGCGAGCCUACUGUGGACCUGGAGUCCGUCGGCUCGACCGAUCCGAUGAUCGUCGACUCCGACACGGUGUCGCUCGACGCAUUCCCCACCAACAUGGUGGUCUACGACGAGCCACCUCAUUGCGAGUACAGCGGAGGAAGCACCGUCACGGAGGUGCUCGUCAUCAAUAGUGAGGAGCACUCGGAUGGGCGUGCGCAAGAUCCCCUCGACGCCGCUCUACGCGACCUCAUGGCGCACAUUCCCGAGGGCACGGACGAUGAGGCGCUGGAGGCACGCCACCUCCAGCUUCUCGAAAAUGCUGGCCGCCUGGCCAGCAUGCGCCGGUUUCAGACGCCUAUCGGCGCGAGAUGGACUGAGCCGUAGGCGGCACGCCGGCCCCUGAGGGGCCUAGCCACCUCGGCACGGUUCGGCAGCGUGGCGCGACUGUCGCCAGCAUGUUCGAGGCGGAGCGCCCCGUCUACGCCACGCUUGCGGAAAACAUCCGUGCCGCCCAGGAGGUGACGGAUGAGCUGGACAAAUGCGACGGCGACGAGCGCCGCCUCAUGACGAAGCGAGUCUAGCAGCUCCUAGACGCGGCAGCCGCGCAGCACGAGGCCGCUUGCCACGCCGAAGUCCCACCCGGACGAAACAACGAGCCGCCCCCACGCCGAGAUCAUGGGCGACCUCCCGAACACCGACUGGUGGCGCCCGCGGAGGAAAGGGCAAUGAGCCGGCUGCCAGCCGCAGUCGGACACACCUCUCCAUCGAGCGGGACGAGGACGACCACCCUCGUGCAGUAGAGCGACGAGGCGACCUGCUGCCUCCCCCGCCUCGCGGAGCGAGAUACCCUACUCCGCCCCCUAUCAUGCAUCCGAUGCUCGGCGACCGCCUUGGCCGUCGAGAGGGAGUCGGAGAGAAUGAUGCUCGCCAUUGGAUCGAUUGUCUCAACCGAUCCCUGGCGCUCGAAGAAGAAGAUGCGCUGGGCCCGCCCUGUUUCGGCCCCAGAAUCCGAGAUGAGCCCUUCCCUAAAGGGUUCACCCUCCCAUGAGACACACCCAAGUACACCGGCUCCGUGAAGCCGGAGGACUGGCUGGUCGAGUACUCCACGCCCGUCAGCAUAGCAAACGGCAACAAGUGUGUUGCCGUGAAGUAUGUCCCACUCAUGCUUCAGGGCACUGCCCGGACGUGGCUCAACAGCCUGAAGCCCCGCAGCUUCAACAGCUGGGUUGAUUUCACCGAGGUAUUAAUCCGCAGCUUCACCAACACCUACAAGCGGGCCCCCAAGCCCCGACAGCUCUCCUUGUGCAUCCAAGGGCCCACAGAGUCGACUCGCGACUACCUCACACGCUGGACCGAGCUGCGCAAUUCCUGCGAAGGCGUGCACGAGGUGCAGGCGAUCGAGUACUUCACUGCCGGGUACCGAGAGGGCACCCUCCUCAAGCACCGACUCCUCUGCGACGAGUCCGAGACCCUCGAUGAGCUGCUGGUCAUCGCCGACAAGCAUGCCACGGCCGACUCCUCCAUGAAGGCGGAAAUCCUGGUUGACACGUCUGACAAGGUGGCCUUCAGGCGCCUCGGACUCCGGCUGGUGACACUAGUCGGCGACAACAACCAGGAGAUCACAAGCGGAAGGCCACCCAGCCGGCUUCCACCAGCCGGCAAGUGGCGACGGUCGAGGAUCAGCAGCCAGAAGGGCAGCCGGCCCCAAGCGGCAGAAGGGCGGCAAGACCAAUUGGUUGCCAGCUUUCUCUUACGAGCAAACCUUGGAUGCACCCUGCAAGUUCCAUAGCGGUGCGAAGCCCUCCAACCACACCACUCGCAAGUAUCACUGGCUCACCAGAAUUGCCAAGGGAGAUGGACUCCUGCCUCCUCCGCCUGCCGGACCGCCGCCUCCUCAGCCUCAGCAGCCGGCGGCCCGGCUAGUCGGUGCCAUACAAGACGAAUACCCGGAGGAACACAGAGCCUAUGUUGUGUUUACCAGCGUGGCUGAUGACAGGCGCAACAGACGACAACAACAAGAAGAAGUGCAGGCAGUGGCCUCCAAUACUCCGGAUUUCAUGCAUUGGUCUGAGAAGCCUAUCAGUUGGAGCAGGGCCGACCACCCGGAAGUGAUGCCUUCCCCUGGUUCGUAUGCCCUGGUCUUAGAAGCAACCCUUGCAAUGGAGAGGCGGGCUGCCUGUUCCUCCAGAAUCUUGAUAGAUGGCGGCAGCAACAUCAAUAUCCUGUACCGCGAUACAAUGGAGAAAUUGGGAAUCAAGCAGAAGCAACUCACCCCCAUUCGGACUAUUUUCCAUGGCAUAGUCCCCGGCCUUUCUUGCUCACCAAUCGGCAAGACUCAGAUUGAUGUCCUCUUUGGAGACAAGAAUCACUUCCGCCAAGAGUCGGUCUGGUUUGAAGUGGUGGACCUUGAAACCCCUACCAUGCGCUGCUAGGCCGGCCUGUUCUAGCCAAGUUCAUGGCGGUCCCCCACUACGCCUACCUCAAGAUGAAGAUGCCGAGUACCAAGGGAAUCCUGACAGUAGUCGGAGACUACAAGAGAUCGAUCGCUUGCGCGGCAGAUAGCAGCUGGCUGGCCGAGUCCCUCGUGAUUGCUGCUGAGAAGCGGCUCCUUGACCGAGUGGUGGCACUGGCAGGCAAGAAGCCGGAAAUGUCACCCACCCCCCAGGAGUCGGAGGUUGAGGGCUCGUUCAAGCCGGCCAAGGAAACAAAGAAAAUACCCUUGGACCCGGAGCACCCGGAGAGGCACGUUGUCGUAGGCACAUGCCUUGACAGCAAAUAGGAAAGCGAGCUUGUCGAUUUCCUCCGUGAGAAUCGGGAUAUCUUUGCAUGGUCUCCCAAAGACAUGCCGGGUGUUCCGACGUAUUUCGCCGAGCACAAGCUACAUGUCCGACCUGACGUCAAGCCGGUCAGGCAGCCCUUGCGCCGCCUGUCAGAAGAGAAGAGUUGUCGGAGAAGAGAUAGCCCAGCUCCUAGCAGCCGGAUUCAUUAUGGACGUAUUCUUUCCAGAGUGGCUGACCAACCCAUUCCUAGUGUUGAAAAAGAACAAGCAGUGGCGCAUGUGCAUUGACUACACCAGCCUCAACAAAGCCUGCC